UGAAGGACUUGACCCAAGGUUUAUGCUACUCGGCACUGUGGAGUGAAGGAGUUCGGCCGCGGUUUAUGGGUGAAGGCUGUGUUAUUUGCCCCGUCAGUACUUUGUUGGUAGACGCUGGUUAAGUAGAUUUAAUUUUUACAGUACUGAGUUAUGUUAGAUGGAAAUCGAUUUUUGUCUUCUUGGCUUUGCAGGGGUUGGGAGUUAUCGCCCCAGCCUUCUGUUGCCUCUCAUCGAAUAGCUUUAUUUGAAGUUCCAUUUUGCCAGCAAGUGUAUGGUCAGAUUCUCUUGAAAUGUUAUAAAAGCCCGGAUCAUGUGAUACCGUAGAUAUGUCUUACAUUUUUUAUGAGGCUAUAUUGCUCAUAACUUGCAAGGCGUGGUGCCCAAGAAAUCAAUUCCUAUCAUCGUUGCAUUUCGAAGGCAGCACUAAAUUGGUCGGUGCGUCUCUGUGCCUGGCUUGGACACAAACAAGCUCUAAUUUUUAGUGUAUGUUCGCUGUGGGACAUACAAUUGUGAACGUGCUGGAACGUGCCGGCAGCACGAAUGCUUCCAACCCAUAAAUUUCUAAGAGAAACGCUGGUUUUGCCAUGCACCCCAGCGAAAUGGGUUGAAGAACAUCAGCCCUUCUAAUGUUUAUAGAGAAACAAAACAGAGUAAACACGUUACUAUGUUCUGAAGCUUGCAAAUGACUUAAGUUUGGCAAUCCAAAGAUCCCCAGCAAUAACCUUCGCCUCUCACUCUGCAAGCUUCUGAUUUCCGGUAGAUAUUAUUUCAUAUGUAUCCUAUAAUAUGAAUCAAAUAAGAUAUGGAUAAAAGAAAAACUACUUCUUCCAGAUCCUAAAUUAAUAAAAUAAAGAAGUGAAUUUUCAAAUUUUCAAAUUUUAAAUAAGGAGUGCUUCUGGAUCAUUGGUGCCCUCAAACACAACUGCCGAUGCGCCUAAAAACUACGUUGACAACACUUCUGUAACACCAUCCACGCCCAACUCCAACUUGCCCACCAAAGGAGGAAUUCACUACCGGACUUCUUGCAGGUCUUGACGUGUGAUCUUAGAGGUACUCGUAAAUAAAAAGGUGCAUCGAUAGCGAGCUCUGGAAUUCUUGUUCAUGAAUCCAGCGUCCAAAUUCUAAUCAAACAGAUUUAUCCUACAAUAAAGGAUUGGUUGUCCGUUGACAAUAAAGGAUUGGUUGUCCGUUGAGGUUUGGCCUUGCCUUCUAGUACAUCUCAGAGGAAAAUGUACGAGCAUCCCCUAGAUGAUUUCUGAGGGCCCAGGAUGAUUUGAGCUCAGUUCUGGCCUUCUAAAGCCCUGAGACAUAUUGGAACCUGAACAAAGUUAUACGGAAAUUUCGAAUGAGUUUUACAACCUCAUACACACUCAUCUGCUUCGUCCACCUUGCAACGUUCAACACGGGUGAAACAUGCCGCCACCGCCCUCCCAAUUCUACAUGCCAGUUUAUAACGGCAGCAGCUGAUAAGAAGCCGAGCACGGCACACCGUCAUGUCGCUCCACUCUUCGCUUGCUGCUCCUACCGGUUUGGACCACCCUAUCAUUUUCCCAUACAUCAUGUACUCCCUCAGUUUUAAAAUAUAAGUCUUUUAGAGAUUUUAAUAGGGACUACAUACAGACGCACAUAGACAUAUUUUAGAGUGUAGAUUCGCUCAUUUUGCUCUGUAUGUAGUCCGUAUUGAAAUCUCUAAAAAGUGUUAUAGUAUUUAGGAACAGAGGGAGUAGAUUUUUACCAUGCAAAAAAAGGGAGUAAAAUUUUAUAAUAAAUUAAUAAUUUUAUAUGAUUGUUUUCGUUGUUAGAUCAUCCUGUUUUAUUUUUUGAGAAUUAUCCUCCUGGGCAUUUUUUAGGGGUAUCCUCCUGGCCAAUUGAGCUGGCUUUUGUUUUUUGAGCAAUUCCGAAAUUGAGCUGCCUACGAUCCGUUCUGGGUCUCAACAAGCACGAGAGGGCGCAAAACCGGGCCGGGCCAUCAUCAGCCUGGGCCUGCAGUGGGCGCAAACCCGAGCCAGAGCCCGAUUAAGUAGAGGCAGCCGCGUGCCCGCAUCGGGUACUUCCUUAAUAACUUCUUCCCCUUUCCACCUGUCGGCGAACACCCACCACAAUCCCCACGCCCGAGGCUUCCUCCCGCGGCGAAACCCUAGCGACCGGAGCGCUCGGCGGCGGCAGCCAUGGCGGACGACGACUAUAAUGAAGUUGACAUGGGGUUCGUCUCUCUCUCUCUCUCUCUCUCUCUCUCUCUCUCUCUCUCUCUCUCUCGUGAUCACGGUAAUCCAGGCUAGGGUUUGGGUAGGCAGCGUCUUCGUUAGGACGAUCCUGUUCCCUUCGUUUCUUGAUAGCAUUCGGGUUGCAGAAACUUGGCCCUUGAUGAUUGAUUUUGCGCUCCGCACGGAAGUAAGUGGUGAGAAUCAGGCCCUGGGUAUGGUUGGUUGGGUUUCGAAAGCGCGUGGUGCUGAUUUUGAGUUCGCACUGAUUCUCACGGGUAAUAGGCUCGCGUGGUUGUCAUCUGACAGGGCAAUAUUUUGUCUUCAAGUUGGCCAACAUCGUGAAAUACAAGGUCCUCCGGUGGCCAGGGGACAUGACUUUAGGCUUUGGUCUCCAUCUGAUUUGGAAAUUGGGCCCCUGAAUUGCGGCUAUACAACUUUUCAAGGCGGCAAAUGUUUGAGUUAAAAGAUUAGUUGUUGAUGCUCCCAUCGAAGUUAGCAGGAGCUGUAAGGUCUUGCUUCUAAUUGGGAUGAAAAAUUUCAGCUCGGCCUUCCAUUUGUGAUUUGGUGGUGAAGAAUUAAUGCAUUAGUUGGUCAAGUACUCAAAGUCUGAUCUUUUCAGGAUGCCACUGUCAUCAAGUGACACUAUGUGUCUAAUUGCUUAAACAAAAAUAUAUGGUUGCUUAGAAUUACCAUUUAUAGAUAGGAAAAUAAUUUUAUGAGACCAGGUCUUAUAUAAAUCAGGGGGGGAGAGAUUAGAUGCUUUGUGAUUUGUGAAUGUCACGUGUCAUCCAUCAGGGUGGGUCUCACCCGAAUUAUAUGAGACCUGGUCUCAUAUAAUUUGUCUCAUAUAAUUUUUUUCCGCACUUACUUUGGGGUCAAUAUUGAUCCUUCUAUUUCUCUUCUCAUGCCAUUGUACCUAUCAGAGUUUAUUUCAUUGAUUGAAUUUUGAGUUACAAUUCCUCAUUUCUUAUGCAGGUACGAGGAUGAGCCUCCAGAGGCUGAUAUUGAGGUGCAGAUCCGUCACUAUUUUCCUAUACUGAUGGUAUCCUUAAGAGGAAGAUCUUGCAGCUUCAUUUAAGUAUAACUGAUGUAUUACUGUUGAAUAGGAAGGGGUUGAAGAAGAUCCUGAGAACAACGAGGAUGCCCCUGAUGACGUGGUAGGGGGUGAAGGUGAAGAAAAGGAACAGGAAAAGACUGCCCGUCCACGCAAUACAACAAAAUAUAUGACCAAGUAUGAGCGGGCACGCAUCCUUGGCACACGUGCUUUGCAGAUAAGGUAUACUUAUAUCUGAGUACACAUUCCUGUUAAUGAGUUCAUUUAAUGAAGUAAUUGACCCAUUGAUUUUUGUAGCAUGAAUGCCCCAGUUAUGGUUGAGCUUGAGGGUGAAACUGAUCCUCUUGAGGUAAAGUCGUAUAAUUUGUUGCUUACAUAUGCUUUUAAUGCUGGCUUCCAGUUAGAUGAUAGCCUUGGCUGUUUGCUUUCAUUCUUUAGUUCCACUUGUUUUGUUGUAUGUUUAGAUGGAAAUUUGCUUUUAAAGUAGAGAUUGAUUGCCUUGAUACUGUGGAAUUAGUCUGUGUACCAGGUAUAAGAACGGCCAUGCUUAUUUAUGAAUCUACUUUAUAUGGAGCUAUAUAAACUUAUGAAUAGGCUUUGCAAUGAGAAGAUUGACAUUCUGAUGUGGUGAUCUAGGAAUCUACUUCCUCUGUCCGGAAAUAAGUGUUGCUCAAACGGAUGUAUCUAUAUGUAUUUCAGUGCUAGAUACAUCCGUUUGAGCAACACUUGUUUCUGGACGGAGGGAGUACUUUAUAUUGAACUACUCCAUGCUAACUAAUGAAUAUCCAACAUUGUUGGAAAUAUUUAUAUGUUUAUGAAUUUGAUAACGUAGAUAUGUUUGAUAGUUAAAUAAUUGGUAGUGUAUAGUCUCUUAGGAUCACGGGGUCGGCAAUCCAACUAGUUACUGAUGUGUUUUCAUUGUUCUACUGAAUUAUUGGGAUUCUUGCUUUGUAAUAUUGCAUCUAAUUAGGCACUUGUUAGUUUGAAGUUUCAAUAUGCCAGUACAAGGAAAUGUUCUUAUGUGCAAUUAUGGAAAUUUUCUUGCUGUAUUAGUCUACCUUGUAAGUAUGUGUUUUCCUUAUAAAGCAUAGAGCUAGAUAUAACAGAAGUUAAUAAGCGUUUCUAUUUGUCUACUGAAUCUAGUUUAGUCAUUGUACCUAUGUACAUGUAGCUACUAGAUAGUUAGGAUUCUUAUUUACUCCAGUUGUAUGAACAGGGAUUGUAAGUAGUAAACCACUAACUCACACCAUUUUAUACCAAAAGGAUGCCCUUGUUAGGCCUUGUACAAUGAGAGAUGCUUAGGGAGGUGCUUAGAAAAAUAAACCGAGUUUUUCUGAAGCACCGGUGCCUAUUUCUACAGGAGAGACGCUUAGUUAAGCGUCUAUCCUGUACAAAUAAGCACCGAUGCUUAAGGAGAGCCUGGUUUAUUUCUCUAAGCACCUCCCCUAAGCACCUUGCAUUGUACAGGGCCUUAAUCACCUACUCCCUCCGUUCGGAAUUACUUGUCGCAGAAAUGGAUGUAUCUAGACGUAUUUUAGUUCUAGAUACAUCCAUUUCCGAGACAAGUAAUUCCGAACGGAGGGAGUAUAUGGUUCUACCCCUUUCUCUGAAACCACAUUCUACAAUAUAUGUUCUGUUUUGUCAAAACAAAAAGAAUCUGAAUAGUUUUAGGUAAGAGCAGAAAAACCAUGAAAUGGUCGAUAUUUUGAGAAGUAAUAAUGCUCUUGCAAUGGGUAAAUGAAAUGAAAUUCGGCCUUGUUUGUCAAUUGUCCAUUACAAACACUACUUGGAUGGUUUUUGCUCCCAUUUACUGUAGAACAUAGUAUUACCAUCGCUUGACUCAUUUCUAGUUAUUGAAUUGCCUGCUCCGCUGAUCUUUGUGCAUCUUCAGAUUGCCAUGAAAGAACUGAGAGCACGUAAGAUCCCCUUCACGAUUAGGCGCUACUUACCUGAUGGAAGGUGAGAUUUAAAGGAAAAGCCAAUCAUCACCUCUCUUUGCUGGCUAUUAUGUGCUAUAGCCUCAUUUUUUACUUUGUUUUGAAAUAGCUACGAGGACUGGGGAGUUGACGAGCUCAUUGUGGAGGACUCGUGGAAGCGUCAGGUUGGCGGGGACUAGAGCUGGUAGACUGUUCGAAUGGGAGGCUCCGUGCUGCAACUAAACUUUGCCCUAGUAGCUAUAUGCAAUCUUUGGCACUGAACUGCCGCGACAAUGUUAUGUUACCGUAACAUGUGUGGGCUAUGUCUGCCCAUUGUGUUGUGCUACUACUGUAAACCAAUUGCGUGGUUGCGUUAGUUUGCUUGGACCAUUGCUUGCAUGCAGCUACAAGUUGCGAAUGAAUACCCUACUCUAACCUCCUUUUGUGAGCGUGGUGCAGGACGUUCUGCUGAUUAUUCAGUGUUCGCAUUUCUAUCUCAGUGUAGCCUUAGAGAUUGUUUUGUAGUAGUAAUGGAUCAAUUGUUUACUAGUAGAUGACUUGAAUAGAUCAACCAGAGUGCUAGGGUUGGAUCUGUGAGAAGUUUUUGGGAACAGAUAAAUACAAGCGCCCGUUCAAACCUUAUACGAACUCAAAAGAAAUAACCUCAUACGAUCCUUUGGAUAAAAUCCAACUUAUGCUGGGUGUUUGGAUAAAAUCCUUCUCUCAGCAAAACAAUGCAAAGUUUGUUCUCAGGGCUGCACAAAUCAUCAAAUCCAAUUUUCCAUUUUACAGAUCCUUAGCUAGUUACUACCAGCAUCUCGAAUGACCAAUGCGGGCGCUGGCACAUGCAGUGUGUCCUUCACAGCAUGCAGUAUGUAAUGCGACUGCCGCUGCGCGUCGCUCAUCAGAGCAGCGACCUGAACCGGUCGCCCUCGGUCUGGACGCGGUCACGGGUGAUCUCGGCAACGCUCCGGCAGCCGCAGAGCGCCAUGGCCAGCUCCAGCUCCCUGUUGAGCAUCUCGAUCACGUGCUUCGCCCCCGCCUGGCCCCUCGCUGCCAGCCCGUACAGCACCGGCCUCCCCACCAUGACUGCCCGCGCACCCAGCGCCAGCGCCUUGAGCAGGUCGGUCCCCCGCCGGACUCCGCCGUCCACCAGCACCGGGACCGCCCCCACCACCGCCUUCACUACCUACACACACACACACACACAAUACACCGCCUUCAGAAUGUGCUUUGUGAUGCUGCACUGCACACACACACCCUUUGAACAAAAUGGAAGACGACGGGCAUGGUGCGGUGUACCUCUUCGAGGGCGGAUAUGGUGGCCGGCGCGUAGUCGAGCUGCCGAGCGCCGUGGUUGGACACGAUGAUGCCUGCUGCCCCGGCCUCCACUGCUUUCCUGGCUGUUUGCCCCCCCCCCCUGGUUGUUCAGCAUUUCAUGUAGUAUAAAAGAUAAAAGAUGAUCAACAAAUUUAUCCUCUGAAUGACUGUGAAGAUCCCGAACAGCGUUUACCGACUUACCGUCCUCGGCGGUCACGAUGCCCUUCAGUAGAAUGGGCAGGCUGGUUAUGGAUUUCAGCCACUCCACGUCCUACACACAGGGUUACCGGAGAGAGAAUGUCAGAAUUCACGUUCCAACUUCCAUUAUGCCCCUGAAGGAUUGGCUCCUUGUUUUCGGACAUCAGUGCAGCAGCAGCAGCCAAGUACUGGAGCAAUUCAAGGUUACUGUCUCCCUGUAUAUGUAAGGCACGUUCUCUACUGAGAGGCAACCCUGUUCUUGCUAGAGGGCUUUGAAUGUAUAGCGUGCCUCAAGAUGGGUCGUGCAGAGUGGCAGAAUUGUCCUUGAAAUUACUGUUGAAUAUACUUAUGGAGUACUGGCCCACAUGCUGUAGGAUCUAAAGCUUUAAAUUGGAGUACUGGCCCAUAUGGGUGCCAAUUUUGCUGUACCUUCCAUGAUAAAGACGGGUCCAGAGUGUCGCGCGCAUACUUCUCAAGCUUCGACCCGCCUGUCUGCAGAUGAGAAAUACGAGCCUUUCAAAAAGAAAAAAAAUGAAUUCAUGUAGUAUCCAUCAUAAACUAUUUUGUUCAUCUGUCCAGUACGGACAAAUUAUCCUCGAGUAAACAUGCUCAAGGUAAGAUAUUCCAUCAAGCAGGCAUUGACUCACAGUAUCAAGAUCAUCUAUUGGCAUCAAACCUUCGAGGUUUGCAUUCGCAGGAGCAACCAUUCUGCAUGAACAAUAAGAUCAGCAAACCAAACAUAAGAAUUCUGUGCCAUGGUGUCUGUUUACAACAUUCAAAGGCCAUAUAAAUAUCUUUUAGGUACGAUUUCAGGCAUGAGACAUUUGUAGGCUUAUCAAAUUUUAACCGCAGCGAAUCGAGUUAUAUCAUAUUAUUAAGUUGGUAUUCUCGAACAAAGAAUAUUAUUAAGAUGGUACAAACAUAAUGACAAUAACAUUCAGAUUGAUCAGGUAUACUCCCUCCUUCCAUCUAUAUAGGGCCUAAUGCGGCUUUCAAGACCGCCUUUGACUAUUGAUAAGAUUAAUAAUACAUGAGAUGUAUAAUGUGAAAAUUAUAUUAUUAGAAGCUCCUUUCACGUAUGAAUUUGACGGUAUGCUUUGUGUAACUUGCAUGUCAUAUAUUAUUGCUCUAACACUUGGUCAAAGUUAGCCUCGAAAAACGCAUUAGGCCCUAUAGAUGGAAGGAGAGAGUACAUUGAGCUAAUAAAAGUAUAUGCGAACAUUAAAGUCCUAACACAUAAACUCUAUCUUUCACCCGCCAAAAAAAAUUCUAUCUUUAAAUAGAAGCAUAUUGUCUUGUCUCGUAGUUGCCACAAAAAAUAGGUUAGUAUAUGUAGAAGGAAAAAUAACAUAAUGUUGUACAAAAUAUUUAAAAGAACUUUGAAGAUAAAAUUGUACUUAUUUCUGAUAUCUGCUUCACGUCGACCGAGCAUAGGAGUGUCAACUGUUAAAACAAUUGCUUUGAAUCCAUGACUCUCAGCCCGCCGCACCAAUGUUGCUGAAACAUCCCUGUUUUUAAAAACCUAAAAUGUUUUUAAAUAAAACAAAAUCAGAGAUCACAUUAUCAGGAAAGGAAUUAUAUCGAGCUUGAAGUCUAGAUGUCAUACAUAUAACUGAUAAAAACGAAUCGCAUUACAACUGGAGGCAACUUCCUCGAUUUUGCAACUGGCUGAGAAGGAUAGCACCUGUACUUGACAAAUAUGAACAUGUAUAGCAAUUGACGGAUGAAACACGACUGAAAGAUCAUUAAUUGUCAGUUGACACCAACCAUUAAGGUAUUACAUGAUGCUGCAGCUCUUGCUGUAGCCACCUCCCCUGAAAUUAGCAUUGAAACAAGAGAUGUAGAGAUAUUACAGAGUUUAGAUGUCAUAUUUUGACAUUCUAAAGUAAGCUUUGAACUAUGAGACCUUCUGGAUUUGCCAAUUUGUGUGAUCCUGUUGGUGCAACAAUUAUGGGCGAGGGCAUGUCAUAUCCCAAUAAGUUUAUCGACAUGUCUAUGUUGCUGACAUCUACAAGAACCCGAGGUCGCAACCUGCAGAAUACACAUCGAGAAAAUCUUCAAGUCCAAACUCUCCAGGUCAAUGAAGAUUUUACCUAGAAGAGGCAGUAUAGGAACAGUACAAAAUUCUUCCAUAUGCUGCAAUGUUGUCCCUCAAUGUGUGUUCAUCCUCUGCUCCUCCAUUGAUAUAAUCAUAGUGCAUCUUUGGCAGUGCUUUCUUGGCGAGUUCUUGAUACUCGCGAAUAUUGACUGGUAGAUUAUUCUCCAUUUCUGCUACAUAUAAUGUUUAGAGGUCAUUCACCUGAUGCAAAUAUCUGAAUUUUAACCAUACAUCGGCUCAGAUCUUUCUUUACAUAUGACCAACUGUCCAACUAGAUGCAUACUAUUUUUCAGUACUUUAGUACCAAACCAGUACAUCUUUUACACAUAUACAGAGCUUUAAAUUGAAGUCUCUAUAUAUGUCCGAAAGAACUAUAAAUACAUAGUGGCCACCUUUCAGAGCUGCCCUUCUCUUUUUUAGUAGACAACCUAUCACUUGGGUUCCCCUGAUCUUUGAGCCAAUUUGUUUUUUCUCGAACACGCGUCUUUUAUUAGAAGAACGCCAAGAUUGGUGCAAAGUUUACAUGCGUAAACCAGCAAAACCAGAAAGAACUGAAAAAACCAACAUAAGCCUAAAGGGUAUGAAAGAAGAAAGCCAAAACCCUACUGCUACCACUGACUAUUGUAGGAAUGGAGGCCUAGCAUGCAUAGGCAAGCUCCUUAAGGCCACGGCCCCUGCCAUAUUCCAUUGGUUGACCUUGGGCAGAAUUAUUUUUAGCAUUCUUUUUCUUGUUUCGAUUCCUAUUAACUCGUCAAAUCCAAAAGGGUAUGAUUGCUGAUGGAGGUUGAAUUUAUAAGAAAUUUACAGUUUUUUCUUUUAAGAUUAUGCCAUGAAGCAUAGAAGAAUAUCAGCCUAUUGCAUUUGAAAAAAGAUACCCAGGCGAGUGAGGCCAAAAUACUAGUGAUAAGAUGAUGCAGCAGUAUUAAUAAAACAUGUUUGUAAACUAAAAUAUCUGAAUCACGCUGCAAAUACCAUUUGUGGAGUAAAGUGCCGUCAGACGAACAUUUGCAGUGCCAAACUUGAUUUAUUCAAUUUGGUACAAAAGCUUACUGACAAUCUAAUCAUAGCUUCUCUAAAGAAGAUAAUCUGAUCACAACAGACUCAGCCAAGAUGGUUAAAAUUCUAAUCCUGCAGAUUUUAUAGAAAGGUACAUAUACAGAAGCAAUGCAACAGGGGUACAGCUCCGAAGAAACUCGCGGCACAAAAUUUGACUUAAUAUCCAUUCAGGUGUAGAAACUUGCCAAUAAUUGAGCACUACAACUUGUCAACAAUUUCUAUAAUCUAGUUUCACUGUUUUGAAGUUAGGAGUUACAUAGAGAAGUUUUUACUGCAAGAAUGCGUAUCAUAACUGAUUUUUGUUCAGUCUCCUCGAAACAGGCUUUCGCCCAGCUUUUAUAUAUAAAGCCUAAACGGCCGAACCGAUACGAAGUGGUCAGGAUUUUUGUACGGUCUCAGGGUAGAUGCAAAUUGAUGGGGGCAAAACAGUGAGUUCCUACUGUUGGUCACUGACAACAUGGGGGAAAUAGAAGAGUAAAAGGCAGAUUGAAAUGGCUUCAGAUCAAACUAUUCAAGUACAAUGUCCAUUGACAGUGUGACUGCACACCUGAUGUGACUCCUCUACCACGUCUCCAAAAAUGGAUAGGCUGAGCUACGGCUUAGCACCAAUUCAUACGAACAUUCAACACUUGAAACCACAGAACACAUUCAAAAGUUCACUACCCACUACCCAGACGCACAAAACACAGAGCCACAUUCAAAUCAAGGCUGGGCUAAUCGACAUGAUUAAGGAGGAUACGUCUUCGGAAGUACAAAGCGUUUGUUCAUGAUCGGAGGAGCAAACCUCAAACAGUCCGCUCUGCUCGCCCGCGGCAACCAGUGAGAAACCUUGUGAGGCCCAAGGUCGAACACUUGACCUGCUGCUUACUGGAACAUCAUAGGAAGGAGGUGUCCUAUACUGAGCUUAAAGAUAAGACCCUGGGACUGGGUCUGGCGACAAAUUGAGAAGAAAACAGCGGGAGGACAUACAAUCGGCACUGAAUCUCCGACGCAACUUCAAUCAUUUCACUGCACCUCACAGUCGGGGAUCAUUCAAGAUCCACAGGAACACGGCGGUCUCAUCUGCCAGGCCCCCCACGGGGUCUCGCAGAGCAGCCGAUCAGCCGGAGAUCGACAGCAAAUCGAGCGAGAGCGGGGCCGUACGAGACAGCGAAUUGAAGGAGGGGAUCGUGCGUGGAGAUGUACGAGAGCAAGCACCAUACCUGUAGUAGAGAUUGACGACUCUAGGGGGGGAUGGGCAGCUAUCGGAGAUGUCGGGGAGGAUGAAAUCGCGAAGGGGGAGUGAUUGCUAUGCUAGCUGCUGGCUGGGAACGGAAGGAUAGUGGGUGAUCGAGUGAGUGUGAUGAUGUCAGAAGACAGGCAAGGACAAGGAGAGGAUGAUGUUGGCUCACUUGGCUCUACACUGAUGAGAACGAAAAUUGCAGUCACGAUCUUGCAAAUUUCAUCUCAUCAGUGUCAACUUCAAGUAACUCUGCACAUCCAUUCGCAAAAAGAAAAAGAAAAAAAAAACUCUGCACAUUCGGUUUAUUUGUUUUGGUAAAUACAGUUCCUCGGUUUGUCAAUGCUGAUACUUCUAUAAAAUACAGCUCGAUUUUCAUAUAUAGAGUUUUUUUUUUGCGAAAUAAUAUAGAGCUGACGUCCUCACAGGGAAGCAACUUGAGCGAGCUAGAAAAGGGUAGAUUGAGUUAACCUACAUUUGGUUACCUGCAUACAAUCCAAUUAGGCCUCAGCAGUAAGAAAAAAAGCUUGUUUAGUUGCAUACUGGGAGGCAUGAUUCGCAUCGGUACCAAACUUAAAACAACUCAGAGGCUGACUCACUGGAAACACUAACCGGCCAUUUCCAGCGAGCCAGUCUGAGUCGGGUGCAAAAGUAGGACGACAUACGCCGCGGUGCAGGGGGGAUUGGGUGAAGAUGUCGGGAGAAAAAAGUCGGCGGAGGCGAGAUGGCGUGAAAUCUAACCUCACCCCAUUUACUCGCUCACCCCUAGCUCUAGGACAAGCCCUUCCUCUGUUCUUAGCAUCGGCGGCGGCAGUGACUCAGAUCUGCGCAAGCGGCAGCGACAUGAGCACUCUCUGGCAGCACUGGCAGUGGCGGUGACUCAGAUCUGCGCAAGCGGCAGCGGCAUCAGCACUCUCUGGCAGCACCACCGACAACGGCGGUGACUCAAAUUUGCGCAAGCGACAGCGACAUUAGCACCCUCUGGCAGCANNNNNNNNNNNNNNNNNNNNNNNNNNNNNNNNNNNNNNNNNNNNNNNNNNNNNNNNNNNNNNNNNNNNNNNNNNNNNNNNNNNNNNNNNNNNNNNNNNNNNNNNNNNNNNNNNNNNNNNNNNNNNNNNNNNNNNNNNNNNNNNNNNNNNNNNNNNNNNNNNNNNNNNNNNNNNNNNNNNNNNNNNNNNNNNNNNNNNNNNNNNNNNNNNNNNNNNNNNNNNNNNNNNNNNNNNNNNNNNNNNNNNNNNNNNNNNNNNNNNNNNNNNNNNNNNNNNNNNNNNNNNNNNNNNNNNNNNNNNNNNNNNNNNNNNNNNNNNNNNNNNNNNNNNNNNNNNNNNNNNNNNNNNNNNNNNNNNNNNNNNNNNNNNNNNNNNNNNNNNCCCCCGCCCGCUUCGUCGGCUCCGAAGCUAGUAAGCAGCAUACAAACCCCCCCUCAUCUGUUAGGGCGAUUGUUAGGACGGUGUAGGAUCAAUUGUGCCAUUGCUGACCACACCAUGGAUGUUGCCUAGGUUGUUGCCGAACGGAUGAAGCUGACAGUUCAGGCUGUCACUACUGCAGGAUGCUGCUAACGCGACACUACAAUAAGAGACCCUUCGACGAAACUGUGUGCACUGCAUUAAUCGCAAAUGGCGAUGUAAAAUAACCGUAAAAAAAUACACAAAACGUUUGCGAUGACGGAGACAUCAAACACGAUUCAGAUUAUAGUUGCGUGUGCGAUGCGUGGCAUACCGUUCACUCCAAGGAACUGUUUAUGAUGAGGAUAACAACAGAAACGGUUAGACAGAUGAAAGGUGUGCGAUAUACAACAUACAGUUCACUCUGAUGAACUGUUUGUGAUUAAGCAACACAACAGAAACGGUCAGCCAGAUCAAGGUGUGUGUGCGAUUGACGGCAUACAGUUCACUUGGAUGAACUAUUUGCGAUUAAGAAACACAACAAAAACAGUCAACUAGAUCAAGGUGUCUGCGAUUAACAACAUACACUUCACACUGAUGAAUUAUUUGCGUUUAGGCACAACAAACAGAAAUGGUUAGACAGAUUAAGGUGUGUGCGCUAGAUGGGCACACAUUCUAAUUAAGAGAAGCAUGCACGAUGGUAAUAACAAGCGCGCACGGUUGAUGGAACAAGUCAUGUGCUGACAUCCCCUAUUGCCGUGCACCCUAUGGUGCAAACGCCAUGUACGCAUCCGAGAACACAUGCCCACGUUACGCCAUCGGGGAAUCGUGCCGCACUUCGAAACUAGAAACGUCAAUAAAUUUUGAGCUUGCAUCCCGUCACAUUCCAAAUUACUAUCACGCUAUAUUUAAUUGCAAAUCUCUUCACACCGAUAAAAAGCUAAAUGGUUUCCUAUUUAGGAGCGUAUUAGUACUUUGUUAUAAAUACUACCUACUCCAAGAUGACUGCACAUUCCUCCUCAAUUCCUCAUCCACAAAAAAAGUAUUUCAUCGUCGUUCCCUUGCGUCUGCCAUGGCUCGCAUGAGUUCUGGGUCGAGAAAUUACUACCAGGGAGAGGCGAGCAUGGAAGCGGAAGUACGAGAGAUGUCCCGCCUCGUCACGAAAGCAGCCGACAUGUCCCGCCGCACCGCUGUAGUAGCACAGAGGUCCAGCCGCGCCGCCGAAGUAGCACAGAGGUCCCACCGUGUCAUCGAAGCAGCAUACUGGUCCGACCGUGCCGCGGAAGCAACAAAGAUGUCCUGCCGCGCCGCGGAUGCAACAGAGAGGUCCUCCCACGCCGCGGCGGCCUGGGAAAAUGUCUCGCAGGCAGGCAAGGACUCUCAUAGGCGCAUGCACGGUAUGCUCGAUAACCGGAUGGAUCGGAUCUUCGACUGGAUGAAGCUGUAGGACGAGAUGAAUGCCUCGUUUGAAAAUGCUACUGGCGUUAUCCGGGGACUAAGGGAGGACAAGGCGAAGCUCCGUACCCAGGACGACCUAUGAGGGCGAAGAUCGCCGGAAGGGCGAAGCAACAUGAGGAGACUACUGCCAUGUUGGAGGGUACAUGCGCACCGUCAAGAAACUUAUGGACAAGAAUGCCAUGCUCUGCAUCGAGCGCAAAAGGCUAGUGGAGAAAUCCGUGGAUGCUGCCAAGCAGCGUAUUGAGGACAUGAAAGAGAUCAUCGCCGCUCGCCGCGAGAACUAGUCUCCACGCCCUACAACAACGCAUCGAGAAAGUAGAGAUCAGCGAGCCAGAUUGUUGUCUGCGUCUUUCUUCUUCUUUUGCCUUUGUGUAUUUCGGGCGUUACCGCAUGUGUAAUUUUUAAUCAUCUUCCUAAAUAUGUAAGACAAAUAGUAUCCACUGUUAUCGUCAUUAUAUUCAUAUUAGUCUUGCUAUAAGUCUCAGUUGAUGCUAUAUAUGUCCGUCAGAUCUUACAUCAAGAUCCGUGCAAUUUAUUUUCAGGUUUUCUUUUUUCUCUCUUAAAUAUCAGUUGAGUGAGACAUAGUCACACCAAAAAACAGGGGCUCAGACGCCAUUAAUGGAGAAGUUGGGCGGCGGAUGGAGGUCAAAGGGCUCACCUCCCGAUAAACAUGUGCAGGGGUCUGAUCGCACGCCUCCUGUACUCAAAUAGCUAUCCGCACGACGCCUUCUAGCCAAUAAAAAAAGGGGACGCGUGGAGGCACAUAAAUGGUUAGUAGAACACCCACGAUUUCAAUAAUACUUGUGUUUCUGAUUGUAACAUGACAACACUUGUUCCAAAAUGACUUUGUUGGUUGUUAAUGUGCGCGCCUUCGCAAAUCGGACAAAAAUUUACCACAACAUGUUGGUACCAUCUGAAGACAACAUGCCGAGUUUCAUGAUUUUCCGGUGAGUUUUGGAUUUACAGUAAUUUAAAAACCAAGUUUCUCUAUGUUUCUGGCUGAGCACGACGCUCAGAUAUUUGGAAUUCAUUCUCAUUUCUUGCAUGUGAUCUAAACAUUCACCCAAGGACACAUAUAUGAUUUUUCAACACAUCUUGGCGCACUGAAGCAUGUGCAUGUAGCUCAAAUUUGAAUUAUGCACAUUAAAUCCCUAGAAAACUCAAAUAAUGUAUAAAAAAGGCAAAACAAACCCUGAUAAUUCCAAAAUUUAGCACCAAACUCAUGUUGGUCUAUGUUGCCUUUGUAAAAAAAACAAGGCGGGAAGAGGGGUGGUCUAUGUUGUUUCGCACACAUAGGUGACACGUCCCCUCUCGGAACCAUGAGGCUUCUCCAGAGAAGCUCCGUUUUGUAAGAAGAUUACACCAAAACUUGUCCCAAAUCGGGCGCAAUUUUUACCAAAACAUGUUGGUGCCAUGUCAUGAUACCAUGCCAAGUUUCAUGAUUUUCGGGCGAGUUUUAUUUACAGGAAUUUAAAAACCAAGUUUCUCAAUAUUUUCGGCCGACCCACGACACCCAAAUGUCUGAAAUUCAUUCCUAUUUCUUGCAUGCGACCUAAACUUUCACUCAAGGACACACAUAUAAUUUUUCAACCAACUUUGGUGCACUGGAGCAUGUGCAUAUAGUUCAAAUUUGAAUUAUGCACAUUAAAUGCCUAUAAAACUUAGUUAAUGUAUAAGAAGGCCAGACAAACCCGGAUUAAUUCCUAAAAUCAGCAUGAUACUCCUAUUGGUCUAUGUUGCCCCAGGCGGGAAGAGGCGGUCUAUGUCGUUUCACACACAGAGAUGACACAUCCCAUCUCGGAACCAUGAGGCUUCUUGAGAGAAGCUCCAUCUUGUAAGAAGCUUACACAAAAACUUGUCCCAAAUUGGACAAUUUUUUUACCAUAACAUGUUGGUGCCAUGUCAUGAGACCAUGCCAAGUUUCAUCAUUUUUGGGCGAGUUUUAGAUUUACAGGAAUUUAAAAACCAAGUUUCUUAAUGUUUCCGGACAAGCCACAACGCCCAAAUGUUUUAAAUUCAUUCCCAUUUCUUGCAUGGGACCUAAACUUUCACUCACUACAAAAAAUACACUUCCGUGAUGAUAUCUGUUUGUCACAGUAGGUCAUGUUUUCUGUCAUGCAUGUACAUCCAUGACGAUUCUAUGACAGAAUCAAGAUAGUCAUACCUGUGCUGUCGUAGAAGUGUUUCAUAUCAAAAUUAUCAUCACGGAAGUGUCCACUUCCAUGACGAUAAAUCAUGCGUCAUAGAAUUGCUUUCAUCAAGGGUAACCGACAUGUGGCAUCCACCGCAAUGGGUCGCUGUUAAGCUAUCGGGUUACGGUUUGGAUCCGAUGACCCAUUAACAACCCGGACCAAUGGGGAUUUUCCACAUAUAAAAUUUUCAAUGGCCAAAGGAACCAUGUGUCGGCUCAACGUUGGGACAGAUUUCAUCCACUCAUUGGACCGAAGGCGCCUAUGAUACGUCGACACGUGGCACGACCCAACAGAGGCCCAUUCCUGUGAAAAGGACGACCCGUUUGACUUGGUCAAAAGGUAGCGGGCCGGCCCACAGAAAGCCUAUUAACGGUCUAUUCGCAUAUAGCCCAUUUAUAGCCCGCUAACUCAUGGCCCGUUACGGCCUAUCCGAAUUAGGCCCAGUAGCGUCAUCUGGGCUAUCCAAUAUGAUUCCAGCCCGUUGUAACUUUCGGCCCAUGUAUGGCCCAUGACAUCUUUCGUCCCAUAUGAGGCCCUUUGUAACUCUUGGCCCAUAUGAGGCCCUUUUUAACUCUUGGCCCAUUAACAACCUAUGGUGAAACUGGCCCAUAAUGAAUAGUGUAUCACUUUAUACCCAAUAACGACCCAUUAUUCUAUUGGGCCGUUUUCAGCCCGUGUUAUCUUUCGGCCUUCUCAGGGCCCAUUUAUUCUUGGGCUUAUUUCCAACAUUCGAUUACUUAUUGUGACGCCCCCGAUUCAAUCAUACACUAAUCAUAUACGCAAACGUGUACGAUCAAGAUCAGGGACUCACGGGAAGAUAUCACAACACAACUUUAAAAAUAAAAUAAGUCAUACAAGCAUCAUAUUACAAGCCAUGGGCCUCGAGGGCUCGAAUACAAGUGCUCGAUCAUAGGCGAGUCAGCGGAAGCAACAAUAUCUGAGUACAGACAUAAGUUAAACAAGUUUUCCAUAAGAUGGCUAGCACAAACUGGGAUACAAUCGAAAGAGGCGCAGGCCUCCUGCCUGGGAUCCUCCUAACUACUCCUGGUCGUCGUCAGCAGCCUGCACGUAGUAGUAGGCACCUCCGGUGUAGUCGUCAUCGUCGACGGUGGCGUCUGGCUCCUGGGCUCCAGAAUCUGGUUGCAGCAUCUGGGAAGAAGAGGAAAACGGGGGAAAAGAGGGAGCAAAGCAACCAUGAGUACUCAUCCAAAGUACUCGCAAGCAAGGAGCUACACUACAUAUGCAUGGGUAUAGGUGUAAGGAGGCCAUAUCAGUGGACUGAACUGCAGAAUGCCAGAAUAAGAGGGGGAUAGCUAGUCCUAUCGAAGACUACGCUUCUGGCAGCCUCCGUCUUGCAGCAUGUAGAAGAGAGUAGAUUGAAGUCCUCCAAGUAGCAUCGCAUAGCAUAACCCUACCCGGCGAUCCUCUCCUCGUCGCCCUGUUAGAGAGCGAUCACCGGGUUGUAUCUGGCACUUGGAAGGGUGUGUUUUAUUAAGUAUCCGGUUCUAGUUGUCAUAAGAUCAAGGUACAACUCCAAGUCGUCCUGUUACCGAAGAUCACGGCUAUUCGAAUAGAUUAACUUCCCUGCAGGGGUGCACCACAUAACCCAACACGCUCGAUCCCAUUUGGCCGGACACACUUUCCUGGGUCAUGCCCGGCCUUGGAAGAUCAACACGUCGCAGCCGCACCUAGGCACAACAGAGAGGUCAGCACGACGGUCUAAAUCCUAUGCGCGCAGGGGUCUGGGCCCAUCGCCCAUUGCACACCUGCAUGUUGCGUACAUGGCCGGUGAGCAAACCUAGCAACCUCCAUUACAAAGGAAGUUGCGUUAACGCAGUCCAACCCGGCACGCGCCGCUUAGUCGCUGAUGUCACGAAGGCUUCGGCUGAUACCACGACGUCGAGUGCCCAUAUCUUUCCCGCGUAGUUGGUUAGUGCGUAUAGGCCAGUAGCCAGACUCAGAUCAAAUACCAAGAUCUCGUUAAGCGUGUUAUUAUGAAGCAACCGCGAACGCCGACCAGGGCCAGGCCCACCUGUCUCCUAGGUGGUCUCAACCUGCCCUGUCGCUCCGCCACAAAGUAACAUUCGGGGGCCGUCGGGAACCCAGGCCCACCUCUACCGGGAUGGAGCCACCUGUCCUUUCAGCCCCCGCAUCGGAAUCACUUGCGGGUACUCAACGAGCUGACCCGACUUUAGUCACCAUUUGUAUAGUAUGUAUAUAUGUAUAGUAUAUACCCGUGAUCACCUCCCAAGUGAUCACGGCCCGAUAGUCUAGCAAGGCAGACUGACAAGAAUGUAGGGCCAAUGAUGAUAAACUAGCAUCCUAUACUAAGCAUUUAGGAUUGCGGGUAGGGUAUCAAUGACUGUAGCAACAAUGACAGGCUAUGCAAUAGAAUAGGAGUAACCGAACAGUAACAUGCUAUACUACUCUAAUGCAAGCAGUAUAGAGAAGAAUAGGCGAUAUCUGGUGAUCAGGGGGGGAGCUUGCCUGGUUGCUCUGGCAAGGAGGGGUCGUCGGUGACGUAGUCGAUCAACAGGGGCAUCAUCGGUCUCGGGGUCUACCGGAGAGAAGAGGGGGAAGAAACAGUAAAUAUAAAGCAAACAUAGCAUAACAGGACAACCAGUAGAGCUAGGCGUGUUCUAACGUGGUGCUACACGAUACCGAUGAGGGGGGAAGUCAACCGGGAAUGUUUUCCCGGUUCCGGACCUGUGUUAGACAAAUGACCGGAGGGGGAAAGUCCCACGGUCAGCAUGCUAGGGGCAUGUGACAGAUGAACGGACCGCGUAUUCGGAUUUGUUGGAUUUUUCUGAGCAACUUUCAUAUAGAAAACAUUUUCAUCCGACUUACGGGUUAAUUUCUAUGAAUUUCUAAAGAUUAAACCAUUUUUAGAAAUUAUUUAAAUUAACAGAAAUGAAUUAUGACGUCAGCAGAGUGUCAGCAUGACAUCAGCAGGUCAACAGACCCGCUGACUGGUCAAACUGGCCAAUUGGUCCCACCUGUCAUUGGCAGUGGGCUAACAACAAUUCAUUUUAAUUUAAACAGAAUAAUUAGUGAUUGGACCCCACUAGUCAGUGACUCAUUAGUUUAGCUAAUUAUGUUUAUUUAGGAAAACGUUUUAAUUAGGUUAAAAAGGCGGCGGGGGGGGGGGGUGUCAGUGGCACUGAGUGCACAGUCAGCAAAGUUGACCGGGUCAACUGGUCAACAGGAGGCCAGGGGCCCCACUGGCAGUGACCCAGGGGUGGCCCCAGGUGUGCCACGUCGAUGGUGGCCGGCGGCUAAACGCCGGCGACUGAAAAUACGGCAGAGGCGCUCGGGAUCUCGCCGGAAUCCACGUACAGGGGGCCAUUUGGCCCGUGCGUUGGCACGUUCGAACGAGUGAGCAACGCUGCAUCCAACACGGGUGGCCACGCGAGCUGUGAUGGCUGGAGCCGCCGCCGGCGACAGGGACGGCGGAGACCCGAAGCACGGCGAACUCGCGCGCGAUGAAACGGAGGCCAAAAUGGGUGGCGCGCUACUCCUACGAUGACUACUCGAAGCCACGAACGCGUUGGUGAGCUCGGCGAACCGGGACGAGCCCUACCGUGAUGGCUGCGAGCUCGAUAGCGGAGUCAGGGUGCGGCAGUGGCGGCGCAUCGUGCACAGCUUGCUACGGCACGUAAAUGGAGCUAGGACAGGGAGAGGAAAUGGGUGGAGCUCACCGAGUGGCUCACACGAUGGCCCGUGGUGGUUUAGGAGCUGCAGAGACGUCGCCGGAGCCGAGGAUGAGCGGCGGCGACCGGAGAUGUGGACGAAGGCGAACGGAGGCAGCGGGGCUCCACAUCUCCACCUGGUGGCACCAAGAGAGGUUGCCGACCGCGGUGAGGCCCGUGGACAAGGCCAGCAGGCACGGGGCCGCCGGUGGCCGUGGCAACGACGGAGGACGACGGCGAGGGCGCCCGGGCCGCGGAUCUAGAGGAGAGGAGGGGCGGAGCGAGCGAUGGCGAGGGAGGGAGAGUGGAUAGGGAUUGAGGGGAGGCCGAGGGGAAGGAGAGGUGGAUCUUUAUCCACCCGCGACGCCUGUAGCGGUGUGGUCGACGAGGUGGGUUCGGCGGCGACGGCAGGCACGCCUCGGUCGCUUGAUCAGAGAACGGGGGGGAGGAGGAGGAGGCCGUGGUGGGCUGGGUUCCAGGCACUAUGCACUUAGGCCGAGUCCUCAUCAGUAGCCUAGGCCCUUUUUUUGUAUUUAUUUGUUUUAUGUUUAUUAGUUUUCUAUUUUAUUUUCUAUAUAUUUUUGUUUUAUAAAAUAUACAAGUAGUACCUAAAUUAGUGUUACAAAAUACCCCAAUGCCACAAAAAGUUUGGUGACAAAAUAAAAUAGUUUAGUAAUUUAUUAAUUGUAAAAGGCAUUUAAUUAAUUGCUUUUGCUACUGUUUAAAUCCUUAUAAUUCAUUUAAGAAUUUUAUAAAAGCUUGGUUUCUCCACCAUAAUUGCUUACGAUUUAUUUGAAACAACCCGAACAUUUUAGUUUUAAUUUUUGAAAACUUUUGUUGUUUGCUUUUCUUUUGAAAUUGAAUUUGAAUCGGUUUCGAACUAAUGCGAGAUUAGCAAUAGUAAUCGAGGUGACGUGGCAUUAUUAGCAGAGGUUACUGUAGCUUGAUUAUCCGGGCGUCACAAUUCUCCUCCACUACAAGAAAUCUCGUCCCGAGAUUUAAGAGGGGAACUAGGGGGUAAGGUCUGGUUACGGAAUUCUAAUGAAUCUUCUCGUUCUUGGUUGCUCUUCUCGAAGUGGUCGAUCCUUUUCAUUGAUGUAUUCAUUUCUCUGCUUUAGGUCAUCAUGAUGAAGUCGGCAUCCUUUCUUCGGGAAUUCCAUCGUACUUUCAAAAGAAUAAAGGGUGGGUAUUCCGGGGGAACGAACCUCUGCAAGGUUAACUAUCUGGUCAAUAACAUCGACGGAGGUGGUGGGAAGUAACUCUCGAAUUGAAACUUAAGAAAGUAUCGAGAGCAAAGUAAGGAGGUAUCAUGGGAAGUUUCGAGCGGGCAGGCAAUCGUUUGAUGCCUGUUACAAGGCGUGAAAGGGGUUCAGAGCAACGGGAAUAAGCAGUGUGUCUGAUACCAGAAUAGAUCACUAGGAAGGUGGCUCGUGAUCUCUCAUACGAAGCCAAGCGUGAGGAUUAGCUUUAGGAACAUGGGUGUACAGGAGAGUCAGGUUUCGAUCCUGUGGAACUGUGGGUUAUGGGCCCACCAUGUGGGUUAAAAGUAUUAAGGGCGGAGACGUCUUGCUUGAUCAUGCAAGCAAGGUAUGUCAGAGGGUAGCCUAUCCGUUAUGUCGGCAACAAUAGCGAUACCAAAGGCGAGGGAUGAAGAGAACCAUUUUCCUGCUCGUUGAACGAGGCGGACCAAUAGGCAAAGUUCUCGUCCAUCGGUGGUUACCGGAAUGUCAUCAACAAUAGUAACAGGGUCUUACAGACAGAGCGGUACAACAAGGUGCUUACCUAAGCAGGGAAUUAUCUCUGCUCAGUUAAGUCAGAUUACAGGAAAGGCUAAACAAAAGAAUGGAAAGGAAAACGUGAUUAUCAGAUUAAACAGAACAAUGGAAAGAAAAAUUAUGAUUACACACAAUUAUUAGGACAAUAUCCUUUCCAUGUACAAGCAGAACAUGGCAUACAGGGUAGGAGAGCAAGUACCCAACCAUUCAGAAAAGAGGCAAGGAUUAAUCAAGAUGUUACCCAUACAACAGUGUUUGGAUAACUAGGCAAGAAACAUUUAGCUUUGGGCUUCAAAUGUUUUUGUUGAAAAUCGAAGUACCAUAGACAUGCUUCGAGAUAGCAUUGACAUGGUCUUCAAGCAAAGGUCAGACUUGGAUAUACAAAGGAUUCAUCAGGAACAACUUAUAAAAUAAGUUUCACAAUUUCCUCAUGGAAGAAUGGUUAACCUUGCUAAGAUGGAAACUAUAACAAUUGGUCCUCCGGCCAGGUGUGCUAGGCAUGACAUCACCUUACUGGGUCAUAUAAAGACCAAUGUUCUGACUCUUGGAAAAUGUUCCAACCAUCAUAUCUAACCAAGAUUCAGAUCUGAUUGGUGUCAGGAUACCUCAGACUCGGGAUGCCUGAGAAGAAAGGUGCAACACAAAUUGACGGGAUGACACUGUAAGAUUCUCAGGAAAUGAACUACGAAGUAAUUUCCGUUAACAAGAGUUCAUCAUUAACCCAAGGAGAGGACAAGGAGGUGGCUGAUGAACUCAACGACAAUUCAUCAAAAUUUCCAAAGGAUGGAUUUCCACAAUUAUGUGAACAAGGAGAUAACAUUUGUCAGAUCAAAAUGAUAUAUUGAUGUAUGAUUGAGGAAAACAUACACAAUUUAACAAUGGUUGAAAGGUGCACCCGGAAUAUGGGCCGGGUUGCACGGCCAACAUUGGAAUGGUGAUUCAAUAAUCAAUAGUCUAAGAAUGAACGGCCGACCAUUAACUUCAAAGCAAUAGGGUUGCUAAAAGGGUGGAAUCCAAACAGCACUGCUCACUUGUUGGUACCUUGGUUGGAAUCAACACGAGGACCCAAGAAAGAAUGGUGAUGGUGAGAAGUAUCACCAUACCAAGAAUUCUUAAGAGGUGGUGAAAUUCCCACGAUAUUCUUGACAUAAAAGGUGGUAAUAUUCCAAGGUAAAGAAGAACAAUGCUGGGUAGCAAGGAACUCAAGGUAUAACACAAAACACGAACAAGUUUGUGUUGGAGGGAAGGCAGUAUAGUGGUUGAUGAUAACCCAAAUCAUUGAGGCAAGGAUGUAUUUCUCAUCAUGAAUCCGAUUGAUAUCCUGGAAGAGCUCAUAAGGUCGAUGAUGAUCAUGACACAUUUGUUGAGAGGUUACACGAAGAUGUAAUUGAUCGACGAUGACAUCAAGUCAAACGAAUGAUGAAGCGAAAGGUUAUUGGAACCACGGUUAGGACACAAACCCCAAAGCAAGCUUGCUGUCCAAAGCAAAAUGAUAUGAUGAGGAAAGAUCGACGUAAGGUUAGCUCAUCGUCAAAAAUUAUGCUCUGGGAAGAGGACCAGGUAGCACAGUUAAAAUCGGCACGACAAGGAUAUAGCCAAACAGGCUAGGAAUGACGUGAUGGAAUUCAAACUCGUAAGUAAUGAAGGUUACCAAGAGUUGCUUAAUCGCGAUGCAGACUCGUGUCAGUUAUCGGUGUCUUUGAGUGUUAAAUAACUCAGAGCCCGUGAAAAAUUGGAAUCAAUGAGAAUGUAGCACUUGAUGAAGAACUCAUAAGAAGUUAUGCAGUUCCGUGAUAAUCUUGAGAUACCUAGGGGGUAAUACUCGAGGACAAAUCAAAGUAGAGGUUGGACUGGGGUAUUACUCUACAGAAGACAAGUGCUUAAACUUGCACGAGAAAUGGUAUUUAAAGAAGAACAUGGUAGGAAAUCUCGAUCAUAAAUGAUCGGACCACGGAUACAAGAUGAACUUAUAACAAGGGGGUAACUAUUUUUACGAGCAGCUUCCAUGAUAAGUUAUACAUCGUGUCCAUGGGCAUGGACUCCCACUUCUUCAAUGUAUAACCUCCCAUUCACUUCUCGCUUUGAUAAAGGCAUUAGUGUUGAAAGCUUUACCUGGUGUAAUACCAGAUGAGUAUGACUCGUGAAAACUUUCGAGUUCACACAUAUUAAGGAAGGCAUAGGUUCAACCCGUCAGGGUAUCGUGGAAACAUAUACCACAAGCUUCAAUAGUAACUAACACAAGCUCGAUAGUAGAGCAUGGUUGACAAAAACAGAGGAUACAAUUUACCUAAGGCAUUAUGUAUCAGGGAAAGAACUUCUCGAGGUUUUUGUAUACGAAGGACACUGUCGGAUGAUAUUUCAACAAAGGAUCUGACAGUCCUUAGUGAAACUGAUGUGAGUAUCGGCACACAACCAGAGGAAGAAACAAUGCGAAGGCAUUGGAUUAUAGAAGCAACUUACUAAUUCAAAGCUCACAUGUAAAGGAAUUAUGAUUACCAAAUCAAAGGAUCAGAAGCAAACGCUCUGAUUAAGGAUGGAUAAGUUGAGUAAGCUUAGGGGUAAAAUCGACAACAAUUUGAUUGGUCGAGAUCAAGCUCAUGUUUAAAGUGACGUCUGAGUCGAAAAGAUAAUUUAAAAGGAUCAACUGAUGAUUGCGUGCAUUCGUACUCAUUUUGAAUCAAUAGGAUCAAAAUGACGGUGCCUAAGGAUACUAACGAAUAUUGCCAGACAUAUGGAAAGCAUCCAAAAUGCAAGCAGACAAGUAUUGCAGAGCAAUAAGCUACUAAGGAUUUUUGGAGUAUCGAAUAGUAUUUUGAAGACCACUGUGGAACACAUGAGCAACGUUGAAAGAAUGGAUACUCGGUAAGUGUGAGGAGUUAUCCAUAGGGGGUAUUCAUGUGGCAAAGAUUUGCAAUGCAAUGGCUCAAAAGAUUCUUAAAAGUCGAAGAACAAUUCGAUGCAUCUUGUAAUAACAAGAGCAGCUAGGGAUGAAUGUAAGAAUGGAAAGGGAAAUAAGUUAUCCAUAAGGAUUUAUCAGUGGUAGGGUAUUGCAAAAGAAGUGGGCACAAAGUCUCGAGAGAACUUCAGCGAGUAUCUUCGGAAUCUUCUGAUGUAACAAACGAUUAUCGGGAGUGAGGGGCUCUUCGGGAGAAAGUAUUUUCGAGAACCUAAAGUUAGAUUUUUAGAAAAUAUUUAACCCGAAUAGAGGAGAGAUUAGAGUCCCAGAGUAUAGGUCGAGGAAUAAAAGAUCCUAAUACUACCCAAUUGGCGACGUGGGCCCAUGGGCCACACAGCCAAGUUAGUAAAACAAUUUUCAUCGACUAUACUCAACUUCGGCCAAGGAGUUGGAAAGGGGGAUUCCUACAGGCAGUCGGCUCUGAUACCAACUUGUGACGCCCCCGAUUCAAUCAUACACUAAUCAUACACGCAAACGUGUACGAUCAAGAUCAGGGACUCACGGGAAGAUAUCACAACACAACUCUAAAAAUAAAAUAAGUCAUACAAGCAUCAUAUUACAAGCCAGGGGCCUCGAGGGCUCGAAUACAAGUGCUCGAUCAUAGACGAGUCAGCAGAAGCAACAAUAUCUGAGUACAGACAUAAGUUAAACAAGUUUGCCAUAAGAUGGCUAGCACAAACUGGGAUACAAUCGAAAGAGGCGCAGGCCUCCUGCCUGGGAUCCUCCUAACUACUCCUGGUCGUCGUCAGCAGCCUGCACGUAGUAGUAGGCACCUCCAGUGUAGUCGUCAUCAUCGACGGUGGCGUCUGGCUCCUGGGCUCCAGAGUCUGGUUGCGACAUCCGGGAAGAAGAGGAAACCGGGGGAAAAGAGGGAGCAAAGCAACCGUGAGUACUCAUCCAAAGUACUCGCAAGCAAGGAGCUACACUACAUAUGCAUGGGUAUAGGUGUAAGGAGGCCAUAUCAGUGGACUGAACUGCAGAAUGCCAGAAUAAGAGGGGGAUAGCUAGUCCUAUCGAAGACUACGCUUCUGGCAGCCUCCGUCUUGCAGCAUGUAGAAGAGAGUAGAUUGAAGUCCUCCAAGUAGCAUCGCAUAGCAUAACCCUACCCGGCAACCCUCUCCUCGUCACCCUGUUAGAGAGCGAUCACCGGGUUGUAUCUGGCACUUGGAAGGGUGUGUUUUAUUAAGUAUCCGGUUCUAGUUGUCAUAAGGUCAAGGUACAACUCCAAGUCGUCCUGUUACCGAAGAUCACGGCUAUUCGAAUAGAUUAACUUCCCUGCAGGGGUGCACCACAUAACCCAACACGCUCGAUCCCAUUUGGCCGGACACACUUUCCUGGGUCAUGCCCGGCCUCGGAAGAUCAACACGUCGCAGCCGCACCUAGGCACAACAGAGAGGUCAGCACGCCGGUCUAAAUCCUAUGCGCGCAGGGGUCUGGGCCCAUCGCCCAUUGCACACCUGCAUGUUGCGUACGCGGCCGGUGAGCAAACCUAGCAACCUCCAUUACAAAGGAAGUUGCGUUAACGCAGUCCAACCCGGCGCGCGCCGCUCAGUCGCUGACGUCACGAAGGCUUCGGCUGAUACCACGACAUCGAGUGCCCAUAUCUUUCCCGCGUAGUUGGUUAGUGCGUAUAGGCCAGUAGCCAGACUCAGAUCAAAUACCAAGAUCUCGUUAAGCGUGUUAUUAUGAAGCAACCGCGAACGCCGACCAGGGCCAGGCCCACCUGUCUCCUAGGUGGUCUCAACCUGCCCUGUCGCUCCGCCACAAAGUAAUAGGUGGGGGCCGUCAGGAACCCAGGCCCACCUCUACCGGGAUGGAGCCACCUGUCCUUUCAGCCCCCACAUCGGAAUCACUUGCGGGUACUCAACGAGCUGACCCGACUUUAGUCACCAUUUGUAUAGUAUGUAUAUAUGUAUAGUAUAUACCCAUGAUCACCUCCCAAGUGAUCACGGCCCGAUAGUCUAGCAAGGCAGACUGACAAGAAUGUAGGGCCAAUGAUGAUAAACUAGCAUCCUAUACUAAGCAUUUAGGAUUGCGGGUAGGGUAUCAAUGACUGUAGCAACAAUGACAGGCUAUGCAACAGAAUAGGAGUAACCGAACAGUAACAUGCUAUACUACUCUAAUGCAAGAAGUAUAGAGAAGAAUAGGCGAUAUCUGGUGAUCAGGGGGGGGGCUUGCCUGGUUGCUCUGGCAAGGAGGGGUCGUCGGUGACGUAGUCGAUCACAGGGGCAUCAUCGGUCUCGGGGUCUACCGGAGAGAAGAGGGGGAAGAAACAGUAAAUAUAAAGCAAACAUAGCAUAACAGGACAACCAGUAGAGCUAGGCGUGUUCUAACGUGGUGCUACAUGAUACCGGCGAGGGGGGAAGUCAACCGGGAAUGUUUUCCCGGUUCCGGACCAGUGUUAGACAAAUGACUGGAGGGGGAAAGUCCCAUGUUCAGCAUGCUAGGGGCAUGUGACAGAUGAACGGACCGUGUAUUCGGAUUCGUUGGAUUUUUCUGAGAAACUUUCAUAUAGAAAACAUUUUCAUCCGACCUGCGGGUUAAUUUCUAUGAAUUUCUAAAGAUUAAACCAUUUUCAGAAAUUAUUUAAAUUAACAGAAAUGAAUUAUGACGUCAGCAGAGUGUCAGGAUGACAUCAGCAGGUCAACAGACCCGUUGACUGGUCAAACUGGCCAAUUGGUCCCACCUGUCAUUGGCAGUGGGCUAACAACAAUUCAUUUUAAUUUAAACAGAAUAUUUAGUGAUUGGACCCCACUAGUCAGUGACUCAUUAGUUUAGCUAAUUAUGUUUAUUUAGGAAAACGUUUUAAUUAGGUUAAAAAGGCGGGGGGGUGGGGGGGGGGGCGUGUGUCAGUGGCACUGAGUGCACAGUCAGCAAAGUUGACCGGGUCAACUGGUCAACAGGAGGCCAGGGGCCCCACUAGCAGUGACCCAGGGGUGGCCCCAGGUGUGCCACAUCGAUGGUGGCCGGCGGCUAAACGCCGGCGACCGAAAAUACGGCAGAGGCGCUCGGGAUCUCGCCGGAAUCCACGUACAGGGGGCCAUUUGGCCCGUGCAUUGGCACGUUCGAACGAGUGAGCAACGCCGCAUCCAACGCGGGUGGCCACGCGAGCUGUGAUGGCCGGAGCCGCCGUCAGCGACAGGGACGAUGGAGACCCGAAGCACGACGAACUCGCGCACGAUGAAACGGAGGCCAAAAUGGGCGGCGUGCUACUCCUACGGUGACUACUCGAAGCCAGGAACGCGUUGGUGAGCUCGGCGGACCGGGACGAGCCCUACCGUGACGGCUGCGAGCUCGAUAGCGGAGUCAGGGUGUGGCAGUGGCGGCGCAUCAUGCACAGCUUGCUGCGGCACGUAAACGGAGCUAGGACGGGGAGAGGAAAGGGGUGGAGCUCACCGAGUGGCUCACACGAUGGCCCGUGGUGGUUUAGGAGCUGCAGAGACGUCGUCGGAGCCGAGGAUGAGCGGCAGCGACCGGAAAUGUAGACGAAGGCGAACGGAGGCAGCGGGGCUCCACAUCUCCACCUGGUGGCACCAAGAGAGGUUGCCGACCACGGCGAGGCCCGUGGACAAGGCCAGCAGGCAUGGGGCCGCCGAUGGCCGUGGCAACGACGAAGGACGGCGGCGAGGGCGCUCGGGCCGUGGAUCUGGAGGAGAGGAGGGGCGGAGCGAGCGAUGGCGAGGGAGGAAGAGUGGAUAGGGAUUGAGGGGAGGCCGAGGGGAAGGGGAGGUGGAUCUUUAUCCACCCACGACGCCUGUAGCGGUGUGGUCGACGAGGUGGGUUCGGCGGCGACGGCGGGCACGCCUCGGUCACUUGAACAAAGAACGGGGGGGAGGAGGAGGAGGCCGUGGUGGGCUGGCUUCCAGGCACUGUGCACUUAGGCCUAGUCCUCAUCAGUAGCCUAGGCCCUUUUUUUGUAUUUAUUUGUUUUCUAUUUAUUAGUUUUCUAUUUUAUUUUCUAUAUAUUUUUGUUUUAUAAAAUAUAUAAGUAGUACCUAAAUUAGUGUUACAAAAUACCCCAAUGCCACAAAAAGUUUGGUGACAAAAUAAAAUAGUUUAGUAAUUUAUUAAUUGUAAAAGGCAUUUAAUUAAUUGCUUUUGCUACUGUUUAAAUCCUUAUAGUUCAUUUAAGCAUUUUAUAAAAGCUUGGUUUCUCCACCAUAAUUGCUUACGAUUUAUUCGAAACAACCCGAACAUUUUAGUUUUAAUUUUUGAAAACUUUUGUUGUUUGCUUUUCUUUUGAAAUUGAAUUUGAAUCGGUUUCGAACUAACGCGAGAUUAGCAACAGUAAUCGAGGUGACGUGGCAUUAUUAGCAGAGGUUACUGUAGCUUGAUUAUCCGGGCGUCACACUUAUGGCCCGUUACUGGCCUUUUCUACCCGUGGGCCAAAUUCAGCUCGUGGUUACAGUCGGCCCGUUUGUGGCCCGCUAAUCCGUUGGGCCAUUUCCAUAGUGUCAUCAAAUACGACUGAUGAACGACGACCCGUUAUGGUCGGCCCAUGAACAGACGGUUCCAACUCUAGCCUGUUUACGGCCCAUAAUGCAGUCCGUUAUUGGCCCAUGUUUGGCCAAUCGAUCAUACGGCCCGUAGAAGGCCCAUUGAUGCUACACCCCAUAGAAGGCCCAUUGUUUCUACGGCCUAUAGAAGGCCCUUGUUUCUACGGCCCGUAGGAGGUCCAUGGUCACUACAGUAAAUAUGUAGCCCAUGGUUAUUGUGGCCUAGUUUUAAAAAAAGGUUAUUGCGGCCACUAGCAAACCACAGAAAAAGAACUGCAUUGACUACAAGCAAACAAAUAAACAAGGCAACAAGGAAAUAAAUAAGCAAGCAAGUUACGCUAGGCUAUCAUGGCUAUUACACAUAUUACAUCCACUAGGCAUCAAAGUUCACCACCAGUGCAAAUAUAGGGAACAAAGCAGCAUAUCACAUACACUGGUUGUCAAAGUUGGAGAACAGUGCAAAUAAAGGCCACAACAAAACAAGUACAUAACUGAAACCACUUCAGAAGAGCUCAAGAAACAAUAUCCUGGGUACCCAUAAUGCUGGCAAGAUGCUUAGCAAGCUUAUUAGCUUUCUCUUGUUUGGCGCUUAAAUCCUCCAGCGGUUGCUGUUGCACUAGAAAGUAUGCAUCUGAAUUCUAUAGGGACUUCCCCAGUCCUUCGGCUUCUUGCCACAGCACAGCUGACUGACGCCUUUCAACUUGUAGCUGAGACUGAAUAAGCCGAAGUGAUUUAGGCAGCGAGUUCAAAGAGCUUGUGCCAGCGGUACUGGCCAGUAACUCGAACACUACAUCAACGCGGGACUUUGGGGUUGUCUCACUGUCUAGAAGAUCGUUUUUAUCACCUUUCUUGGAGACCAACAGGGUUAUCCACUAUCUUGAACCUUAUCUGCAUUACUUUCUCUACCAUUGCAUAGUGGGGUGCUCUUCUCCAAUAUCCUGUUCGCAUUAUACAAGAGAAACAAGAAGACACAUCACAGGUUUAACAUGUAGUAUACAAAACUCAUUUUGGUAAACCGGUCCAGUAGUAAGGUGGACAGGAUAACAACAUGAAACAAACAUAUAUCUAUGUACUAUGGUCACUGUAUUGUCCAUACCAUUCUAGUUUAUGUUGCCAAAUCAAGAUAGAGACACAGUUCAAAUCAUAUAUUUUUAAGACACAACAACAUAGAAAGAAUAUAAGUGUGAGAAAUUACACAACACUGGCAACACUUGUAAUGUGCAUCACGUGAGAACAUAACUGUUUAUACAACUGAAACUGAAAUCAACAUAGAGCAAGAAGUUAGAACAACAAUCCAGUUAAAGAAAUAGGUUUGAAACAUACAUGUUGCGCCAUUGGAGUUUCAAUUGGAUCCUUCAAAUUCGAAAUUAGUUGGUAUGAGUAAAUAUAGUGAUGCAAGAGCAAAGGAGUAUGGACCAUAGCUAUGGAAUCUAACCUGAGAACAGUUGCUCUUCUGCUUUAAACGUGGAGUUUGGGUUCGCUUUGGUGGUCUUCGUGCUUUGGGCACUGCAGUUGCUUUACAAACUGCUCGUGUGGGGGUACUCUGUGGUGGACAUGGUGCUGUGUCAACUAGAAGUGGGUUACUAUCCACUGGGGUUGGGGUGAGAUGGGUUGUAGGUGGUUCUCUGUCCAAUAGUGUAAGUGUGCAAUCUGGAAGACUCUUGAUUAUGCGUGGUGGGGCUAGUUCGUGGGCUAGUACAACCAUGGUUCUAUUUGCAUCGACAAGUAGCAUCGUCUUUUGUGAAGAACGGGUUUUUGCUCCCUUAGACACUUCCGUCACCCCUCCAAUUCAAAUGGCUGAUAAACAAGAAAAGAAAUUGAACGUACAGACAUUGUAUGAUAGACAGAUGUGGUAAUUCACAAAUAUGUUGUCUAACCAAACAAGAUAACAUGACACAAUUUCACAUAUAUGAUGGCUAACUAAACAUGAUAGCAUGACACAGUUUCAGAUAUAUGAUGGCUAACUAAAUAGGACAACAUGACACAAUUUCACAUAUAUGAUGGCUAACUAAACAGGAUAGCAUGACAUACUUUUCCCACCAACGAAAAUGACUUAGAGCUCCCAACACUUUCCAUGCUAGAUACAUCAUAGGCGGUUCCCAAACAGAAAAUAAUGUUUAUUCAUUUUUCCACCAUACGUCCACUUUCCAUGGCUAACCGUAUCCACGGGUGCCCUCCAUACCAACACUUUACAAGGAAUUUAUUAUUUGACAACAUAAAUUAAAUUCAUUUUUCAUUUUGGGACUAGGCAUCCCUAAUACCUUUGUCGUACUCUCGUGCAAUGACUAGUGAAUAAACACUCAUCGUGAUAAUAACACAUCUAGCAUGGAAAAUAUUGGCCACCCCUCACCACCUUGCGAGCGGUACAAGCACACAAAAGAGAAAAUUAUUUUGAAAAUUAGAGAUGGCACAUGCAAAUUUGCUUAGAACGACACAGAAAUACCACAUAUAGGUAGGUAUAGUGGACUGAUAUGGAAAAACUGGUUUAAAGAGUUUUGGAUGCACAAGUAGUGAUCAUACUUAGUGCAAAAUGAAGGCUAGCAAAAAGAUUGAUAAGCGACCAACCAAGAAACGAAAAAUCUCGUACCCAAGCAUUAAGCAUAAGUAACACCAAAUAAUGUACCACAAGUAGGAUAUAAAUUUCAUUGCAUAACUACUGAUUUUCGUGCUUGCAUAGGGAAUCACAAACUUUAACACCAAUAUUCUUACUAAAGCAUAAUUACUCAUCAACAUGACUCACAUAUCAUAUCUUCAUAUCUCAAAACCAUUACUAAGAAUCAAGUUUAUUUUGUCCAAUGAUCUUCAUGAAAGUUUUUAUUAUAUCCUUCUUGGAUAUCUAUCACUUUGGGACUAUUUUCAUAUGUUGCUUUUGAUAAGCUCAAACAAAUUUAAGUGAAGAACAUGAACAUAAUAUUUCUUUAUCUCAAAAUAAUCUAAGUGAAGCAAGAGAGAAUUUCUUCAAAAAUAACAAAGCACACCUUGCUCAAAAAGAUAUAAGUGAAGCACUAGAGCAAUUCCAUGGCUCUAAAAAUUGAAGUGAAGCAUAGGAUCAAGCAUAGCAUAAUUUUUGGAUCUCUCAAAAAGGUGUGCCCAACAAGGAUUCAAGACUUAAAAUACAAAGCGAAACAAGCAAAGACUCAAAUCAUACAAGACGCUCCAAUCAAAACUCAUAAUAUGUGACGAAUAAAAAUAUAGUUCCAAGUAAAAUAUCGAUGAUUGUUAGAAGAAAGAGGGGAUGCCACUCGGGGGCAUCCCCAAGCUUAGUUGCGUGCUACUUGGGGUGCCUCGGCCAUUCCCAAGCUUAGCCUUUUUCUAAUCCUUAUCCCUUCAUCCAUCGUAAGAUCACCCAAAACUUGAAAACUUCAAUCACACAAAACUCAACAAAACCUUCGUGAGAUCCGUUAGUAUAAGAAAGCAAACCACUACUAUAAGUACUGUUGCAACCCAUUCAUAUUUUAUUUUUGCAUUAUAUCUACUGUAUUCCAACUUUUCUGUGGUUAAAACUCUUCAAAGAAAACCAUAGAAUCAUUGAAACAAGCACACAACGCAAAGAAAAUGGAAUCUAUAAAAAACAGAACAAUCUAUAGAAAUCUGACUACUUCGAAUACUUAUAUAAAUCCCAAAAUUCUGAGAAAUUAGGACGACGUGAAUAAUUUGUUUAUUAAUCUUCUGCAAAAAGAAUCAACUCAAAAUCAAUUUUCUGGUGAAAAUGAAAAAUAAUUUCGUGAGCGUAAAAGUUUCUGUUUUUCAGCUAGAUCAAAUCAAUUCUCACCCAAAUCAUCCCAAAGGCCUUGCUUGGAAAAAACAAUGAUUUAAACCACAAAACACAUCUAAUCAGAGGCAUACUUGUGUAUUUUAUUGAAAACAGCAAGAAAACCAAAAAACAAAAAGAUACAUGUUGGGUUGCCUCCCAACGAGCGCUAUCGUUUUACGCCCCUAGCUAGGCAUAACACGAAGGAUCUAAGUUUUGUCAUCUUUAGUUCUAGAUCCAUACGAUGCCUCAUGAUUGAUUCAUAUGGUGGCCUAAUUCUCGUUCUAAGGAAGUGUUCAAUACCCUUCCUUAGUGGAAAUUGAAAUUUAACAUUGCCUUCUUUCAUAUCAAUCACGACACCAAUAGUACAUAAAAACGGUCUACCAAGUAUAAUUGGAGAAGACAGAUUGCAAUCAAUAUCAAGAACAAUAAAAUCUAUGGGCACAUAAUUUCUAUUUGCAAGAAUAAUAACAUCAUUAAUUCUUCCCAUAGGCUUUUUAAUAGUAGAAUCCGCUAAGUGCAAAUUUAAAGAGCGUUCUUCAAUAUCGGUAAGACCAAGCACAUCACAUAAAGACUUCAGAAUUGUAGAAACACUAGCACCCAAGUCACAUAAAAAAACACUCAUAAAUUUUAAUCUUGACUUUGAUGGUAGGUUCCCAUUCAUCAUGCAACUUUCUAGGAACUGAAACUUCUAAUUCCAACUUUUCUUCAAAAGAUUUCAUCAUAGCAUCAACAAUAUGUUUAGUGAAAGCUUUAUUUUGUUCAUAAGCAUGGGGUGAAUUUAUCAUGAAUUGCAACAAAUAAAUACGAUCAACCAAAGAGCAACUAUCAUAAUUAAAUUCUUUGUAAUCCAAAAUAGUGGGCACUUAUUCAAACCCACUUUUAUCAAUUUUCUCAACAAGAUUUUCACCCUCCGAAUUAUAGGGACGCCUUCUAACUAAAGUUGACUCUUCCCCAAUCCAUUUUUCAUCAAUAUUAAUUUUACUAAACAAAGAAUCAAUAGAAGAAGCACCAAUCGUUUUAAGAUCUUCAUCACUUUUAUGAAAGUAAUCACUAGAAACCGCCCUUUCUAAAAAUUCUCUUUUAGCUCUAAGCAUAGCGGUUCUUUUCUUACUUUCAUCCAUAGAAACAUAAAGAGAUUUAAUUGAUUCUUCAACUUUAGGCACAAAAUUUUUCAUCUUGAGAGUUUCUACAUCAUGAGAACUUAUAUCAAUACUUCUAGACAUAUCAUCAACUUUAUUCAACUUUUCUUCUAUCUAAGCAUUGGAAACUUUUUGAGUAUUGAUAAAUUCUUUAAUAUUAUUCUCAAGAUCAGAGGUGUUUCUAUUAUUAUUAUAAGUAGGAUUACCAUAAUUAUUAGUGGAAUUACUAGGAAAAGACCUAGGAUUAAAAUUACCUCUAUAAGCAUUGUGUAUUGAAAUUGUUUUGCGAGAUAAAAUUCACAUCUAUGGAGUCACUAUUUUGCUCAAUCAAGGUAGACAAAGGCACAUCAUUAAAAUCAAUAGGAGCACUUUUAUUAGCAACCAACUUCAUAAGAGCAUCAACCUUUUCAAUCAAAGAAUUUAUUUCUUCUACCGAAUUGACCUUUUUACUAGUAGGAGCUCUUUUGAUAUGCCAUUGUGAGUAAUUGGCCAUAAUAUUGCCUAGCAAUUUAGUAGCUUCACCCAAAGUAAUUUCCAUAAAGGUACCACCAUGGUGGAGUCCAAAAGAUUACAAGAAACAAAAUUCAACCUCGCAUAAAAUUUUUGUAUGAUCAUCCAAAGAUUCAACCCAUGAGUUGGGCAAUUCCUUAGCAUCAAUUUCAUCCUUUUCCAAGAUUGUGCAACAUGCUCAUGUUCAAGUUGCCUAAAAUUCAUGAUCUGGGUUCUAAGAGAAAUGAUUUUUGUGGGCAGAAAAUACUUAGUAAUAAAAGCAUCCUUGCACUUGUUCCAAGAAUUGAUACUAUUGCAAGGCAAAGAAGAAAACCAAAUUUUUGCGCAAUCUCGCAAAGAAAACAGAAACAAUUUCAACUUCACAACAUCAUUGUCCACAUCUUUUUUCUUUUGCAUAUCGCAUAAUUCCAUGAAUGUGUUAAGAUGGGACAAGGCAUCCUCAUUAGGACUACCGACAAAUUGAUCUUUCAUGACAAGAUUCAACAAAAAAGUAUUAAUAUCACAAGACUCCGCACUAGUGGUGGGACGAGCAAUCAGAGUGCUAAUAAAACCAUUGUUAUUGGUAUUUGAGAAAUCACACAACUUGGCGUUCUCUUGAGUCAUGAUGACUUCACAAGAAGAUUGCACUGAAAAACAGAUCUGACGAGAAAACGGCGAACGAAAAAGAGGGCGAAUAAAACGGCAAAUUUUUGUGAAGUGGGGGAGAGGAAAAUGAGAGGUAAAUGGCAAAUAAUGUAAAUUACGAGGAGAUGAGAUUUGUGAUUAGGAACCUAGUUGAUGUUGAAGAUCCUUCCCGAUAACGGCGCCAGAAAUUCCUUUUGACGCCUGCUUGAACUAUGUCGGUAUUUCCCCAAAGAGGAAGGAAUGAUGCAGCACAGGGACAGUAGGUAUUUCCCUCAGUGAUGGGACCAAGGUUAUCGAACGAGUAGGAGAACAAAUCAACACAACGUAAACAACCCCUGCACACAAGUAACGAAUAUUCGCAACCCGACGUGUUAAAGGGGUUGUCAAUCCCUUUCGGGUAACGGUGCCUCAAAUUGGCGAGAAGACAUGAUAAAGUUGUGAUAGAUAGGAUAAAUUGAUCGCAAAUAAAAUAAAGUGCAACAAGGUAUUUUUGUAUUUUUGGUUUAAUAGAUCUGAAAAUAAAAGCAAAGUAAAAUAGAUCGCAAAGGCAAAUAUGAUGAAAAGAGACCCGGGGGCCGUAUGUUUCACUAGUGGCUUCUCUCGAGAAAAAAAUAGCAAACAGUGGGAAAACAAUUACUGUUGGGCAAUUGAUAGAACUUCAAAUAAUCAUGAGGAUAUCCAUGCAAUGAUCAUUAUAUAGGCAUCAUGUCCAAGAUUAGUAGACCAACUCCUGCCUGCAUCUACUACUAUUACUCCACACAUCGACCGCUAUCCAACAUGCAUCUACUGUAUUAAGUUCAUGGGAAAACGGAGUAAUGCAAUAAGAACGAUGACAUGAUGUAGACAAGAACUAUUUAUGUAGAAAUAGACCCCCGAUGACCCACAAGUAUAGGGGAUCUAUUGUAGCCCUUUCGAUAAGUAAGAUUGUCAAACCCAACGAGGAGCAGAAGGAAAUGACAAGCGGUUUUCAGUAAGGUAUUCUUUGCAAGCACUGAAAUUAUCGGUAAUAGAUAGUUUUGUGAUUAGGUAAUCCGUAAUGGGUAACAAGUAACAAUAGUAAACAAGGUGCAGCAUGGUGGCCCAAUCCUUUUUGUAGCAAAGGACAAGCCUAGAAAAACUCUUAUAUAAAGCAAAGCGUUCCCGAGGACACAUGGGAAUUACUGUCAAGCUAGUUUUCAUCAUGCUCAUAUGAUUCACGUUCAUUACUUUGAUAAUUUGAUAUGUGGGUGGACCGGUGCUUGGUCACUGCCCUUCCUUGGACAAGCAUCCCACUUAUGAUUAACCCCUCUCGCAAGCAUCCGCAACUACGAAAGAAGAAUUAAGGUAAACCUAACCAUAUCAUGAAACAUAUGGAUCCAAUUCAGCCCCUCACGAAGCAACACAUAAACUAGGGUUUAAGCUCUGUCACUCUAGCAACCCAUCAUCUACUUAUUACUUCCCAAUGCCUUCCCCUAGGCCCAAAUCAUGGUGAAGAGUCAUGUAGUCGAUGUUCACAUAACACCACUAGAGGAGAGACAACAUACAUCUCAUCAAAAUACCGAACGAAUACCAAAUUCACAUGUUUACUUAUAACAAGACUUAUCCCAUGUCCUCAAGAUCAAACCUAACUACUCACAAAUCAUAUUCAUGUUCAUAAUCAGAGGGGUAUUAAUAUGCAUUAAGGAUCUGAACAUAUGAUCUUCCAUCAAAUAAACCAACUAGUAUCAACUAAAAGGAGUAAUCAACACUAGUAGCAACCCAUAGGUACCAAUAUGAGGUUUUGAGACAAAGAUCGUAUACAAGAGAUGAACUAGGGUUUGAGAAGAGAUGGUGCUGGUGAAGAUGUUGAUGGAGAUUGACCUCCUCUUGAUGAGAGGAUCGAUGGUGAUGAUGAUGGCGACAAUUUCCCCCUCCCGGAGGGAUGUUUCCCCGGUAGAACAGCUCCGCCGGAGCCCUAGAUUGGUCCUGCCCAGGUUCCGCCUCGAGACAACGGCGCUUCGUCUCGAAAGCUUCCUUAUGAUUUUUUCCAUGGAAAAAUACACCAUAUAGCAGAAGAUGGACGUCGGGGGCCCGCCAAGUAGCCCACGAGGCAGGGGGCAUGCCCAAGGGGGUAGGGCGCACCCUCCACCCUCGUGCCUGGUGGGUGGCCCCCUCUGGUGCUUUCUUCUCCCAAUAUUUUUAAUAUAUUCCAAAACUGACUUUCUGGAGUUUCAGGACUUUUGGAGUUGUGCAGAAUAGGUCUCUAAUAUUUGCUCCUUUUCUAGCCCAGAAUUCAAGCUACCGACAUUCUCCCUCUUCGUGUAAACCUUAUAAAAUAAGAGAGAAAAGGCAUAAGUAUUGUGACAUAAUGUGUAGUAACAACCCAUAAUGCAAUAAAUAUUGAUAUAAAGGCAUGAUGCAAAAUGGAUGUAUCAACUCCCCCAAGGUUAGACCUCGCUUGUCCUCAAGCGAAAGCCAAUAUCAAAAAAUAUGUCCACAUGUUUAGAGAUAGAGGUGUCGAUAAAAUAAAAUACGGACAUGAGGUCAUCAUGAUCAUCUUUAGAACAACAACAUAUAUAUUGUCAUAUGAUUUCUUAUGCUAAAGUACCAAUCUAUUCACAAUGUAAAGUAUGAAUCAGAAACUUCAUUGAAAACUAACAAACUAUGAUCUCGGUCAUUGAAGCAAUUGCAAUUUAUCAUAACAUCGGAAAGAGUCAAUAUAAGAGCUUUUCAACAAGUCCACAUACUCAACUAUCAUUUAGUCUUUCACAAUUGCUAACACUCACGUGAUACUUAUGGGUAUGAAGUUUCAAUCGGACACAGAGAAAGAUAGGGGCUUAUAGUUUCGCCUCCCAACCUUUUACCUCAAGGGUAAUGUCAAGAAUAAUACUUUAUGAAAACCUACAUCCAAGUGGAUAUAUAUAUCAGGAUCUUUCCAACACGUAGUGCUUGCCAAAGGAUAAAGUGUAAAAAGGAAAGGUGAAGAUCACCAUGACUCUUAUAUAAGGGUAGAUGGUAAAAAUAAAAGAUAGUCCCUUCGCAGAGGGAAGCAGAGGUUGUCAUCCACUUUUAUGGUUGGAUGCACAAAAUCUUAAUGCAAAAGAAUGUCACUUUAUAUUGCCACUUGUGAUAUGGACCUUUAUUAUGCAGUCUGUCGCUUUUAUUUCUUCCAUAUCACAAGCUCGUAUAAAACUUAUUUUCUUCACGGUAAUAGAUCAUACAUAUUUAGAGAGCAAUUUUUAUUGCUUGCACCGAUGACAACUUACUUGAAGGAUCUUACUCAAUCCAUAGGUAGGUAUGGUGGACUCUCAUGGCAAAACUGGGUUUAGGGAUGUUUGGAAGCACAAGUAGUAUCUCUACUUGGUGCAAAGAAUUUGGCUAACAUGAGGGGGAAAGGCAAGCUCAACAUGUUGGAUGAUCCAUGACAAUAUAACUUAUUAGGAUAUAAGGAAACAUAUCCCAUUACAUUUUCUUCCUUGUCCAACAUCAACUUUUUAGCAUGUCAUAUUUUAAUGAGCGCUCACAAUCAUAAAAGAUGUCCAAGAUAGUAUAUUUAUAUGUGAAAAUCUCUCUUUCUUUAUUACUUCCUAUUAAUUGCAACGAUGACCAAAACUAUGUUUGUCAACUCUCAACAACUUUUGUUCAUCAUACUCUUUAUAUGUGAAGUCAUUACUCUCCAUAAGAUCAAUAUGAUCUUUUUAUUUCUUUUUAUUCCUUCUUUUAUUCCCUCAAGAUCAUAGCAAGAUAGCAAAGCUCUCAACUCAAAACUAAUCUUUAUUAUAUAUAGCUCACGGACUCGAUUACAUAGAUAGAGAUCAAAACAAAACUCAAAGCUAGAUCAUACUAAAACUUUAUUCUAGUAGAUCAAGAUAUAACCAAAAGGAUCGAACUAAGAAAAACGGUAAAGAUAGAAGUGUGAUGGUGAUACGAUACCGGGGCGCCUCCCCGAAGCUUGGCAGUUGCCAAGGGGAGUGCCCAUUCCCAUGUGUUUAUGUCUCUUUCUUCGGAGGUGGUGAUGAUGGAGUUGUUGACCAUGUAGGCUUGUCGUCCAUCUUCCAAGGCAUAGGCUCACCAUCAUAGAAGGAUGGACGAGUCUCCGGGAUUCUCAAAUCUGCAGCCAAACUCAUCCUCUUGAAUCUAUAUUCAUACUCACAGUUUUGGUUUUGCAGGUCAUAGAUCUGGGCCUGGAGGUGCUCGAUUUUCUUGUGAAGCUUGAAGAUGGCCUCCCCGAUGUUCUUGGCAUCCAGCUUCUGGUUGUUGGUGAACUCCGCGAUCAUCAUAUGAUUGACAUUGAGUCCGCGUUCCACCAUCCCUUGGCACUUGAAAACUUGUUGCUCCAUUGCUUUGAGUCUUGUCUCCAUGCUUCCGGUCCUUCUCGGUCCCUCAACAUUGGGGAUGUGCAGCACCCCCUCACGCAUCUCAACGGUUUGAGGGUGUUGCAGCACCUCCGCGAGGUAAGGGUUGAUGACCUUCUCGAAAAACUAGUCCUUGGGGGCGUUUGGAGACAUCAUGGUGAUCUAGAUCUGUCAGAAAAACAUCUCGGAACAAAAGCAGAGGAUUUUGUCAUGGUACGGUGGUCAAAACCUUCGGGAGAUUAUAUAAUGAAUUUUUACUGACCAAAAGAAGUAUCGUGCAAGAAAACGGAGUCUGGAGGGCACAUGAGGUGGCCACGAGGCGGGGGGCAUGCCCAUGGGGGUAGGGCGCGCCCUCCACCCUCGUGGACGCCUCGUGUCUCUUUUAGACUACUUUUAAUUUUCCUAUUUUUUUAAAUAUUCCAAAAUGGCGAAAGUUGAUAUUUGAACAGUUUUGGAGUCGGUUUACUUACCAUACCACAUACCUAUUCCUUUUCGGAGUCUGAAACAUUCUGGAAAGUGUCCCUUGUGUACUCCUACGGGGUUACGGUGUCAAUGACAUUGGUUUCAACAUUUAUGGGAUUACCUGAGAUAUAAUGUUUGAUUCUUUGACUGUUUACCACCUUCGGAUUUGUGCCUUCGGCGUUGUUGAUUUUGAUGGCACCGAAACGAUAGACCUCCUCGAUAAUGUAAGGACCUUCCCAUUUAGAGAGAAGUUUUCCUGCAAAAAAUCUUAAACAAGAGUUGUAUAGCAAAACAUAAUCACCUACAUUAAACUCACGCUUUUGUAUCGUUUUGUAAUGCCAUCUUUUAACUUUUUCUUUAAACAAUUUGGCGUUCUUAUAGGCCUUGGUUCUCCAUUCAUCAAGUGAGCUAAUGUCAAAUAGCCUCUUCUCACUGGCAAGUUUGAAAUCAUAAUUGAGCUCUUUAAUGGCCCAAUAUGCCUUAUGUUCUAGUUCAAGAGGUAAGUGACAUGCUUUUCUAUAAACCAUUUUAUACGGAGACAUACCCAUAGGAUUUUUAUAUGCAGUUCUAUAAGCCCAUAAUGCAUCAUCAAGUUUAUAGGACCAAUUCUUUCUAGAUCUAUUAACAGUCUUUUCAAAAUCAAUUUAAUCUCUCUAUUACUCUAUUCUACUUGUCCACUAGACUGAGGAUGGUAUGGAGAUGCAAUUCUAUGAUUAACAUCAUACUUAGCAAGCAUUUUACGAAAAGCGCCAUGAGUAAAAUGUGAACCACCAUCAGUCAUUAAGUAUCUAGGGACUCCAAAUCUCGGAAAAAUAACUUCUUUAAGCAUCUUAAUAGAGGUGUUAUGAUCAACACUACUAGUUGGAAUAGCUUCUACCCACUUAGUAACAUAAUCAACAACAACUAAAAUAUGUGUAUACCCAUUAGAGGAAGGAAAAGGUCCCAUAUAAUCAAAGCCCCAAACAUCAAAUGGUUCAAUAACAAGUGAAUAAUUCAUAGGCAUUUCUUGUCAUCUACUAAUAUUACCAAUUCUUUGGCAUUCAUCGCAAGACAAGACAAACUUACGGGCAUCUUUGAAAAGAGUAGGCUAAUAAAAGCCGGAUUGCAAUACCUUAUGUGCAAUUCUAUCUCCAGUGUGGUAUCCUCCGUAAGCCUCAGAGUGACACUUGCGUAGGAUCUGUUCCUAUUCAUGCUCAGGUACAAAAUGUCUAAUAACACCAUAUACUCCUUUAUAAAGGUGUGGGUCAUCCCAAAAGUAAUGUCUUAAAUCAUAGAAAAACUUUUUCUUUUGCUGGUAUGUGAAACUAGGUGGUAUAAAUUUAGCAACAAUGUAAUUAGCAUAAUCAGCAUACCAUGGAGCAGUAUGAGAAGCAUUUACGACAGCUAAUUGUUCAUGAGGAAAGCUAUCAUCAAUAGGUAGUGGGUCAUCAAGAACAUUUUUUGACCUAGACAAGUUGUCUGCAACAUGAUUCUCAGCUCCCUUUCUAUCAAUAAUAAUAUGCAAAUCAAAUUCUUUUAGCAAGAGAACCCAUCUAAUAAGUCUAGGUUUAGCAUCUUUCUUUUCCAUAAGAUAUUUAAUAGCAGCAUGAUCGGUGUGAACAGUCACUUUGGAAUCAACAAUAUAAGGUCUGAACUUAUCACAAGCAAAUACGACUGCUAAAAAUUCUUUUUCAGUAGUAGCAUAAUUUCUCUGGGCACUGUCUAGAGUUUUACUAGCAUAUUGGAUAACAUUUAAUUUCUUAUCAACUCUUUGUCCUAGAACAGCACCAACAACAUAAUCACUACUAUCACACAUAAUUUCAAAGGGUAAAUUCCAAUCAGGUGGCUGAACAAUAGGUGCCGCAAUCAAGGCCUUCUUAAGUAUUUCAAAUGCUUCUACACAAUCAUCAUAAAAAACAAAAGGAACAUCUUUUUGUAAGAGAUUGGUCAGAGGCCUAGAAAUUUUAGAGAAGUCUUUAAUUAAACCUCCUAUAAAAACCAGCAUGACCAAGGAAACUUCUUAUACCUUUGAUAUCUUUAGGACACGGCAUCUUUUCAAUAGCAUCUACUUUAGCUUUAUCAACUUCAAUACCUCUUUCGGAAAUUUUAUGCCCCAAGACAAUACCUUCAUUAACCAUAAAGUGGCACUUCUCCCAAUUCAAGACAAGAUUAGUUUCUUCGCAUCUCUGCAAAACUCGAUCAAGGUUGCUUAAGAAAUCAUCAAAAGAAUUUCCGUAAACAGAGAAAUCAUCCUUGAAAACCUCAACAAUCUUUUCACAAAAGUCAGAGAAUAUAGCAGUCAUACAUCUUUGAAAGGUAGCAGGUGCAUUGCAUAAACCAAAAGGCAUAUGUCUAUAAGCAAAUGUACUAAAAGGGAAAGUAAAAGUGGUCUUUUCCUGAUCCUCUUUUGACACAGGUAUUUGGGAGAAACCAGAAUAACCAUCUAGAAAGCAAAAAUGUGUAUGUUUGGAUAAUCUUUCUAGCAUUUGAUCAAUAAAAGGUAAAGGGUAAUGAUCUUUUCUAAUAGCUUUAUUGAAUUUGCGGAAUCAAUUACUAUUCUAUAACAUGUAACAAUUGUUUGUGGGAUCAAUUCAUCCUUAUCAUUAGGAACAACAGUAAUACCUCCCUUCUUAGGGACACAAUGGACAUGACUUACCCACUGACUAUCAGCAAUAGGAUAAAUUAUACCUGCCUCUAGAAGCUUUAGUAUUUCAUUUCUUACCACUUCUUUUAUCUUAGGAUUUAACCGUCGUUGAUGAUCAACAACUGGUUCAGCAUCGUUCUCCAGUUUUAUUUUGUGCUGGCAUAGAGUGGGACUAAUGCCAUUAAGAUCAUCAAGAGUAUAUCCAAUAGCAGCAUGGUGCUUCUUCAGAGUUUUCAAUAAUUUCUCUUCUUCAUUCUCUGAAAGGUUAGCACCAAUAAUAACAGGAUAUAUCUUCUUUUCAUCAAGAUAAGCAUAUUUAAGAGUAUCGGGUAAUUGUUUAAGCUCAAACAUAGGAUCACCCUUGGGUGGAGGAGGAUCCCCUAGGAUUUCAAUAGGCAAGUUAUGUUUCAAAAUAGGUCCCUGUUUAAAGAAUACUUCGUCUAUUUCCCUUCUUUCAUUCAUAAACAUAUCAUUUUCAUGGUCUACCAAAUAUUGUUCUAUAGGAUCAUUAAGAGGCACAUCAAUAGAAGCAAGACCAAUAAUUUCAUCUUUACUAGGCAAUUCUUUAUCAUGGGGUUGUGUACGAAAUUUAGCAAAAUUAAAAUCAUGAGACAUAUCCCCUAGACCGACAGUAACAAUAUCCUUUUCGCUAUCUAUCUUAGCAUUAACAGUAUUCAAGAAGGGUCUACCAAAUAUAAUGGGACAAAAGUCAUCUUGUGGGGAACCAAGAACAAGAAAAUUAGUAGGGUAUUUAAUUUUCCCACACAAUACUUCAACAUCUCUAACAAUCCCAAUUGGUGAAAUAGUUUCUCUAUUGGCAAGCUUAAUUGUAACACCAAUACCUUCUAUUUCGACAGGUGCAAUAUCAUGCAUAAUUUCUUUGUAUAAGGAAUGAGUAUUGCACUCACACUAGCACCAAAAUACAUAAGCCAUGAUAACAAUGCUCUCCUAUUUUAACAGAAACAAUAGGCAUGCCAACAACAUGUCUAUGUUUAUUUUUAGUAUUAGGUUUGGCAAUUCUAGGAGCUUCAUCACAGAAAUAAAUAACAUGCCCAUCAAUAUUAUCGACCAAGAGAUCUUUAACCAUAGCAAUACUAGGUUCAACUUUAAUUUGCUCAGGGGGUGUAGGUUUUCUAGCAUUACUCUUACAAACCAUAGUUGAAGCUUUAGCAUGAUCCUUUAUUCUAACAGGAAAAGGUGGUUUCUCAAUAUAAGUAGUAGGAACAAUAGGAUCAACAUCAUAAGUAAUAGUUUUUUCUUCAACUUUAAUGGGUUCUACUACUUUCACUUCAAUGGGAGGAUGAUAUUUAAACUACUUCUCCUUAGGGAGAUCAACAUGAGUAGCAAAUGAUUCACAGAAAGAAGCUACUAUCUCAGAGUCAAGUCCAUAUUUAGUGCUAAAUUCACGAAAAGCAUCGGUAUCCAUAAAAGAUUUAACACAAUCAAACUUAGGGGUUAUACCUGACUCCUUACCUUCGUCGAGUUCCCAAUCUUCCGAGUUGCAUUUAUUUCUUUCCAAUAAAUCCCGUUUGAAUUCAAUAGUCUUCAUCAUAAAAGAACCAAUACAAGAAGUAUCGAGCAUGGAGCGAUCAUUAUGAGAAAGCUGAGCAUAAUUUUUUUUGAAUAAUAAUUUAUCUUGAGAGCUCAUGAUUGGGGCAUGAAUAUAACAUUGACUUAAGCCUCCCCCAAGCUUGAGUGAUACUUUCUCCUUCAUGAGGCCAAAAAUUAUAUAUAUAAUUACGAUCACGAUGAACCAGAUGCAUAGGAUAAAACUUCUGAUGAAAUUCCAAUUUCAAUCGGUUGUAGUUCCAUGAUCCAAUAUCAUCACAUAGCCUAAACCAUGUCAAUGCCUUUCCCUUCGAAGAUAAAGGGAAUACCUUCUUAUUGACAACAUCCUCGGGCAUACCUGCAAGCUUAAAUAAUCCACAAACUUCAUCCACAUAGAUUAGGUGCAUAUUGGGAUGUAAUGUUCCAUCUCCUGUAUAGGGAUUAGCUAGCAGUUUCUCUAUCAUGCCCGAAGGAAUUUCAAAGUAAAUAUUUUCAGUAGGUUCAGUAGGUUGAGGAGAAAAUCUUUGCUCUUAUGAUCAGGGUGAAGAUACCCCGAACAAGCCCCUCAAAGAUUAUUUUCCAUAGUAACAAGUGACAGUAAAUUUCAGCACACUAUAUAAUUGUUUCCUUACCAAAUUCCACCUACCAAAGGCGCUUCACUCCCCGGCAACGGCGCCAGAAAAGAGACUUGAUGACCCACAAGUAUAGGGGAUCUAUCGUAGUCCUUUCGAUAAGUAAGAGUGUCAAACCCAACGAGGAGCAGAAAGAAAUGACAAGCGGUUUUUAGUAAGGUAUUCUCUGCAAGCACUGAAAUUAUCGGUAACAGAUAGUUUUGUAAUAAGGUAAUUCGUAACGGGUAACAAGUAACAAUAGUAAAAAAGGUGCAGCAAGGUGGCCCAAUCCUUUUUGUAGCAAAUUACAAGCCUAUACAAACUCUUAUAUAAAGCAAAGCGCUCCCGAGGACACGUGGGAAUUACUGUUAAACUAGUUUUCAUCAUGCUCAUAUGGUUCGCGUUCAUUACUUUGAUAAUUUGAUACGUGGGUGGACCAGUGCUUGGGUAUUGCCCUUCCUUGGACAAGCAUCCCACUUAUGAUUAACCUCUCUCGCAAGCAUCCACAACUAUGAAAGAAGAAUUAAGGUAAACCUAACCAUAGCAUGAAACAUAUGGAUCCAAAUCAGCCCCUUACAAAGCAACACAUAAACUAGGGUUUAAGCUUCUGUCACUCUAGCAACCCAUCAUCUACUUAUUACUUCCCAAUCCUCCCCCUAGGCCCAAAUCAUGGUGAAGUGUCAUGUAGUCGACAUUCACAUAACACCACUAGAGGAGAGACAACAUACAUCUCAUCAAAAUAUCGAACGAAUACCCAAUUCACAUGAUUACUUAUAACAAGACUUCUCCCAUGUCCUCAGGAACAAAUGUAACUACUCCCAAAUCAUAUUCAUGUUCAUAAUCAGAGGGGUAUUAAUAUGCAUUAAUGAUCUGAACAUAUGAUCUUCCAUCGAAUAAACCAACUAGCAUCAACUACAAGGAGUAAUCAACACUACUAGCAACCCACAGGCACCAAUCUGAGGUUUUGAGACAAAGAUCGGAUACAAGAGAUGAACUGGGGUUUGAGAACAGAUGGUGCUGGUGAAUAUGUUGAUGGAGAUUGACCCCCUUCGUGAGGCACCAAUGGACCCAUAGGUCUACAAAGAACUACUCACGCAUCAUCGAAGAGGCACCAAUGGACAUGAUGAACCCCUUCGUGAUGGUGUCUAGAUUGGAUCUGGUGUUCCUGGAACUGGAGGCGGCUGGAAUUGAUUUUCGUCGACUCUCCUAGUGUUCUGGAAUAUUGGGGUAUUUAUAGAGCAAAGAGGCGGUGCUGGAGGCCACCAUGGUGGGCGUAACCCACCGGGGCACGCCUAGGCCUCUAGGUGUGCCCUGGUGUCUUGUGCUCACCAAGGGACGACCCUCUUAUACUUCUUUGGCCCACUGGAUGUAUUUUGGUCCAAAAAAAAUCCACAAAAAGUUUUGCUGGCGUUUGGACUCUAUUUGGUAUUGAUUUCAUGCGAUGUAAAAAACAAGCAGAAAACAACAACUGGCACUGGGCACUAUGUCAAUAGAUUAGUACCAAAAAAUGAUAUAAAAUGAUUGUAAAACAUCCAAGAAUGAUAAUAUAACAACAUGGAAAAAUCAGAAAUUAUAGAUACAUUGGGGACGUAUCAAGAGGUUAGCACACUAUACCCACACCACGGAACCCAUGGCCUCGCACUCCCAUUCGGGUGGACCAAUGACGUUCUGACAAAACUGAUCUAUUGCCCAUGACACUCUCCUAGCCACUCCGACUAACUCACCUCUAGGCUAGGUCUUGGGUGGCCCCGAUGUCAACCAAUGACAUCCAACGGCCACCAUUGUGGCAAAACAUAAGCGGUCCCAAUCAGGGACAAGAGAUCUCAAUACCAACUACGGGCACACAAGGUUAUGUCUGCUUACAGGGCCAGGCUAACGCACGCCCAUAACCUUCCCUCACUGAGGCACCGAUGAGAGACAUGACAAUAGACCGCAUUAGGGCCUUCCCAUAAAGGCAAAUGUGGUUGCAUAGGAAAAGCCUAGUUCAGUGGCGCCUGACCAACUUAAUGAGAAAAUUUAUCCCUAAAAUAUAACUGAUACUCCAAUAUCAUAUAUCCACCAGUAAACCAAGUCAUAAAAAUAUCCAACACACAAUCCAGAGAAUAAUAUAGACAUAACCUAAUACUCCGAAGGUAGCAUAAACACUAAGAGCAUGCUGAAUCCAAGAACGAUAAUACUACUAAUCCCAUAGCAAGAACGAGCUAUCCAGCUAAGAUCCACAUGCAAGAAUCAUCUACGAAAAUAAUACUCCAAAGCAACAUACCAACUACCAUCAUGAUAAUAAUCAUACUAGCCACUAAUAAUCCAAUGGCAACAUAUCAUCCAUCAACUGCAAGCAUAUAUCCUAGUAAUCCAAACAGUAGCAUGGCAAUAGCAAGAUUAAAAACAACUCUGAGAAAUGCCAUGCACACAGUCAUGUCGCUAAAGCAAUAUUUUAAACAAGUUCAAAUAAGUAAACCAUGUCACUGCAUUGCAAUCAUGUAAAUGGAGGUUGUGGCUUGCCUGGGAGGGGUGGAAUCACUGGAAAGAAGUGCGAGUAACUUGCGGAAAGAAUUGCCGGAAAAGUUUCUCUCUCGAAAAGGAUGAAUAAGGGCAAGGGCAAAAUGGUCAUUUUCAGAAUGUUAAAACAUGGUGAAAAUGAUUCCAUCGUAACGGGCUUGACAAAAUGAAGAAGUGGGCUUUGGAAUCACCUUAUCUGGAGUUAUGGUUGAAGAGUUAUGAUUGUUUUUCUACCAGGGACCUAUUUUAAUAAAAUCCUCACAAACAUGCCCUUGACUGAAAAAACAGAAAGGACACUAUCACAGAAUACGCUUUUAGAGAAUUGAAAACACAUUGCUGGCCAAAGGAGAUCAUUUCGGGAAAGGGAGACGUAUUCGGGCGAAUACGACUCCACUUAUCCACGCUGGUAGGGAGGGGUCAACGCCCGUGCAACUGCUAGGUGGGGUCUGCGGGAGGUGGGAUCCUCCUGUCAUCGGCUUCUACCUCUGUCGCCCGCGUGCGGCCGGGGGAGCAGCGGGCUCUGGUGAGGCUAGCCGGCGACUCCGGUCACCGCUCGUGAAGCACGGCCUACUAGCAUGCUCAAGGGGCGAGCCGCACCCGCCUGUGGGUAGUACGGGCGCUGGGGAGGUUGGAGGCGAGCAUGACUUCUACGCUGGCGGACGACAAUGUUGGGCGUCGGCUGUCUUGGCGCUCCGGUCCUCCAGCGAAGAGGGCGAAGAGAAGGGGAGGCUCAGCAUGCUCCGGGCGGUCGUCUGGCGGUGGAGAGAAGGAAGGAGGAGCUCGGCGUCGAGCCAAUUUAGGCCAAGGUUGAGGCGGGCACGACGAACAUGGGGGAGGAAGAUGGGACUCCGGCAAGGAUUUGCUGGGUUUGGGAGGUGUAGAAGGGAGUGGGGAGGCUGAUGGCAAAGGGAAACGACACCGGGGUGGCCUUAUAUAGCCAGAGCAAGGUGGUGCCGCACUGGCGUCGCCGUGGACACGUGGCCGGCGCCGCAGACGCGUGGGCACGCAUGUGAGUUCGGCGGUUGGCAAUGAGAGGGAACAGGGAGGAGCUCACGGGGUAGAGGGGGCCAAGGGACACGGGGAGGAAGAUGCCAUGGCGAGCUCAAAGCCAAACCGAGCACAGUGCGCCCGUGGUGCUCGGCGGAUAGCUCCGACAAGGAAGCGGAUGGAGGGGGAGAGGGGUCCAGGGGGGCGGCGACGAGGAGGAGAAGAUAUUGGACAUGGUCACACGUGCGAAGACGACGAGAGGAAGAGAGGCCGGAGAUAGGCGACAUCUUGGACGCAGCCACAACGAGCAGAGCACGUGAAUUGGCAUGCCACCUGCAUGGUCACCAUGCGAUACGGCAAAGAGAGGUCACGAGAGGAGGGGAAACCGUGUCUAGCAUUAUGUUCUUCCAAGAUGGAACAUUAAUGAGUCUAUGGCUGGGUCUGAGGUGAUCUGGUUAAAUGGUAGUCAUUGUCUAAAGUUUGAUGUAACAAACUUGGCUGUGCACUGGUGAUCAACAGGGAAUAGAUAAGGGCCAAAUAAGUUGUCUGGGGUGAUUAUCUAAGGAAAGACUACGAUCUUGGAGGUUUUGAGGAUAAUUGGAUCACAAAUGAACAAGAUUGCUUUGCAAGUGCAUAAUUGGUCCAGAAAAUGAGAUUUGGUUGAUGCACUUACAUAGAGAAGCAACUUGGGCUGAAAUUUGGCAAGGCAGGGUUAUUUGGCCAUAUGAAGAUGCUUUAAAAAUCUCAUACCAAAUGGACUUGUCAAAAUGGUACUUGUUUCACAAACAUCUCCUCCGUCCAGAAACUUGCAAUAAUUUUGGGGGCAAAAUGGCUUAAUGAAAUGGCCUCAAACUAGGUGGAGAGAUGUUAUAUAGAUAAGAGCAUGAUCUGGUAAUUUUUCAGAAUUAAUGAAGCAAUAUAAAUUAUACUUGCUUCACAACCUGAAAAUAUCAACAUAAUCAAAGAUUUGAAGUUGUGCUCACAUAAGUGAUUGUAUGGGGCUAAAAAUUGGAGGAGGGUAAUGAUAUGAGCACAUGAAGAGGCAAGCACAGUUUCAACUCAUUUGGAUACUCCUAGCUUGUAGUUCCUUCACAAUGGCUUCUGUUUGACAAAAACUUUGAAAAAUCACUAAGGAAGAUUUACUAGGCAAAUAAAGUGGAAUUUUGGCACGAGGCAAUUAUUUGGUCAUGAAAGAAUUCCCAAAAAGUUUGGGGGCAAACAAGAUAGGAUAAAUGGCACUUCCUUCACAAAAUGCCAUUCAGGAUAGAAUGGAAGCAUGAAUAUUGGAGGAAUAUUUUUGAACUGGCCAAGGAAGGAUUUGGGCAUAUUUGAGCAAUAUAUGACCCAAAGAAAUUAUGAGAAUUAUUUGGGAAUUUUUGGAUGGACAGAAAUAUAGGUUGCUUCACAACCUAGGGCAAAUAGGAGAAUUCCUUUAAUAGAAAAGGAAUAUUCCCAAUAAAGGAAUAUUGGGAUUUGGGCUAGGAUGGAAAUGGCAUGGUCUUGGGAUGAUUUUGAGAAUGAUGAACCACUUGGGAGAAGAGGAAAUGAUGAUCUCCCAGGUUUCAAGUCCACAGAUCCACUCCAAAAGAAAAACAGAGCAAAACCAAAUAAACCAAAAAGAAAAAAGAAAGGGGCCAAAAACCAGGUUGUCACAAACCUCCCCCCCUUAAAGAAAUCUCAUCCUUGAGAUUUGGUUGCCCAGGGAACAAAUAUAAACAUACCUUAAGGAAACUGUUUCCAACUCGGGUAUCCUUUUCCUUUGUUUGUUGUUCCCCUAAGAAUUUAUUAAGAUCUGCUUACUCUGCUCUGGGAUGGUUUGCUUCACCUUUCCCAAAUUUUGACGGGUCUUUCCUCAUAUACCAAAGUCUUAUGCUGAACUUGACACUCUCUUAUCUACGGGUGAUAUUUUGAGCAUGACUUUCAUUUGGUCAGGAAAAACCUUUUACAUAGGCCAUUAGGUUGUCCAAACAAUCACAUGCCUUCUGGGUUCAAACAAUACUCUUAAACCUUACGUUGUUGCAGGUCCUCUCAUAAAUAAAUCAAGCAGGCCGGCUGGCAAUCGGGUAGAUCCAUAUGUUCUAAGGGGGGGGGCUUUCUCCUCCUCAGUAGGUGCAAACCCUGGUUCUGUAAAUGAUUAUAACUGCCUUGGAGCUAGAUAAGCAAACCUUAUUCUGUUUGAGUAUGAUGGAUGUUACACACACUGCCAGAUACAAGCAAAAGCUUUCCAGCUAAGCUAGGAGUCAGAACGAACUCAUGAAGCUAUCCUUCUUCUUGCAUCUCAAGAUUCAAAUGGAAUUUUAUGCUGGGAAAUAAACUACCAAUUAGGGAAUGCGCAUCUCUAUUUCUGGAAUUCUUUGGUCUAGGCAAUCCAAAAGCGUGAAUCAUGGCCACUCUUCUGACGAGAUCCGACUGCCCAACAGAGAUACCGACUCUUGAUUUGCUACUUUGGCUUGAGCAUGAGAUAUUUACCAAAGUUUCGACUACCUUUAGUCACGGGUAAUACAAUGGAGUAUGGGCUUAUAGUUGUAUCAUACCUCAAACUAUAGCAUCUUGAGACUCGCCUGAUAGGGUGCUGGCUGGAAGAUACUUUUCAUGGCAGGUUGUUUGUGUACUUGAUUCUGUCAAUGAGUAUACUGGGUCUGGGCUGAUUGUUUUGGCUUUUGAUUUACCCAUGUUGUCGGUACACUCAUUUGUGGUAAUAAGCUGUGAGAUGCUUCAACACUGGCAUUGAAUUCAAACUAUUGAGGUUGCAAAGAAAUCUUGGAUCUGACUGAACAGACUUGGAUAUUCCACACUAACCAUUUUGGGUAGGUGCCAUGGGACAAGCAGGUCGGCGGAAUAUGAAGUCCUUGUACAACAGUAGGCUUUGGAGGGUAUGUCUUUGUGGAUCCAUAUGGAAUAAUGGCCCUCAACUGACUUGGGUAUCCAAACCCUGAUGGUAGUGAGAAAAUAAUUAUACCCUUGCUGUCAGUCUCAUCCUUUGACUGUCAUGAUUUUCUUUGUUAGUAUACCUUACUGAAAUAGUUUGGCCACAUAUGUUCUCGAUUCCUCGUAUGAGCAUGAAUGUGGUUAGUGCAAUAUUUUUGGAAUUAUUCCCUGUGCCUACUUUAUGACCUGGGUCCGCGCAUAUAUGAUAGGUGCUUGGGGCUUGUAGCUAUAUAGAGCUCAUUAUUGAGGCCAUUCAUACAAGAGGGUGACAAGGUUUCAUAAGAUUUCCUUGUCAGGUGCGGGGAUAAUGACCUUGGAAGUCGGUGUCCAGACUGUUGAUGUUGCGUUAUUGGCCUUGGCACUCGUCGAUUCUUGCACCACAUGAGGUGUAUCUCUGCUCAUCUUCAUUGGGAAUGACUCAUGAGUUUGUUGGAUCCUUACCUAUCUUAGGUAUAUCUGCUUGAUCAUUGUCGUAUCUCGUAUGAGUGACUAUUGUGACCGGGGUUGCAUGCUCACCAUAUGUAGGAACAAUAUGCCACCGAACACUCGAUUCUUGCGGUAGGCAUAUGUCUUGACUGAUUUGUACUUCUGACAGAAAUAUUGUUGAUCUGAUUCUUGAGAUGCACCGUCAUAUACUGCCAACUCACCGUAUAAUCUCUGAGGACGGUGCAAUAGUGUGGUACUGACGUGGACCGAGUGGCUUACAAGAGAAGCCAUUCGAGUAGCUUGCUGAGGAAGUCUCGAUUGCUUUUGCUCGAAGAUUUGGUCUGCGUAGCAUGCAGAAGAAGCUUGAUAGCUUAUAGAGGAAUCUUAACCUUUGUAUCGUGCUGGAGAUGUCUGGGUUCCGUACUCGAGAAGCUUCUCCUCAGGUUGCUUGUUGAGGAAGAAUUAGUUCCUUACAUCAGAAACUUUUACCGAGGUAUCUUGCAUUGGAAGACUAGGUAUCUUGGACAAGAAGCAAUCCAUGUAUCGUACUGAAAAAUCUUGAGGAGCCUUGCAUCAUAAGUUGCUUCCGAAAGCAUGUGGAGGAAGACUGAGUUUCUCAUAUCCAACUUUUCAUACUGUGAUAUACUGACUAAGAACCAUACACCCACCCAUAAUAUUCCGUGUUGGGUUACUUGCAUGAUAAAAUUAUUUGAUUGUCUUCCUUGAUCAUAGCUCAUUCUGGCUUUCCUUCUGAAAUAUAGCAUAGUUCCAAUUGCAUUCAUAGAUGAAUCAGACUUUGUAUAUAAAUCAUACCUUUGACUGGGAAUAUUCCAUUGGUCUUGUGCUUGCCUUAUCUUCUUGCUGUUUUGAUCAUUAUUUCUACGAAAGGGGCAUAACAGUAUGCAGACUUGCUCUUGAUAUUCGAUUAGGGAAACCAUUUAUAUACUGAGCAGAUAUUCCCAACAUAAUGCAGUCAACUUAGAAUCCCAUACUGUUUAGCUGAGCUUCCAUAUCUUUUCUAUCUUUGCUGCUUCUUCGAGUUCAGCGUCGGUUGAUGAACAACUCUUUAUAGGGAAAAAAUAAUGUAACACUGGGGCCCAAAAAGAAGCAAAUAAAACAAUUCAACUAAACAAAGGGGUAAAAAGGCAUACAAACCACACACAAACAAUAUCACAUGUAUGCUAUCCACACAAUAUGCACACCUACUUAAGCACACAAAUCUCGUGAAGUCUCCGGUACUGCAAUCUAACAUGCUAUGGCGAUGUGCACGAGGACAAAACAAUGUGUGGAAAAGUUGGUGUAAACAUUGCUACACCAAGUGUUAGCUUAGCCAGGUAACAACCUUGACUAGCUCGGAGGCGAGGACGUACUCGGUAACCAUAUAGCGGAACACGAAUGUCGCAACCACAUUAUUAUCAAGCAGACGGAAGGGAUUCAUACUCGUCCACGGAAUAGGACAGCAAGGAAAGUUGAGUCGGCUGACAUUGCCCUUUAAUGAUGACGAAGAUCAUUAAGGGUUGCCAACGCGACAAAGAGGCAUGUUUCGGGGCAGCAGCCUGUCUACCACCGAAACAAUAGGGAUAGCUGGAAGGAAGAGAUCGGUGUGAUACCUGAGCACCAUUUUCUGCAAACAGUGUCAGGAUCACUUGGCAUCACUCUAUUGGGACAGAAAUGACAUCAAACACCCAAGAAAAAGGGAAACUCGAGGAAUGCAGAAGCUGAGCUAUAGUGGAUCAAGAUCUGAUGCCAGCUACACUCACCAGAUAAAACCGUUAGCAGCAAAUACUAAGGCUAUAUGCAUGCUAUGCAACAACCAAAUGCAACAAACAAGGCAGACUCUAUACUGCCGAUUACUACCGCUCGCACUAACUAGGGCAUCCUACAACCACACCUGCUUUGAUACAAAGCCUAUGGCAUAAUGCCUGCUUGAACUAUGUCGGUAUUUCCCCAAAGAGGAAGGGAUGAUGCAUCACAGUGACGGUAGGUAUUUCCCUUAGUGAUGAGACCAAGGUUAUCGAACUAGUAGGAGAACCAAGCAACAUAACGUAAACAUCCCCUGCACACAAAUAACAAAUACUCGCAACCCGGCGUGUUAAAGGGGUUGUCAAUCCCUUUCGGGUAAUAGUGCCUCAAAUUGGCGAGAAGAUGUGAUAAAGUUGUGAUAGAUAGGAAAAAUAGAUCACAAACAAAAUAAAGUGCAACAAGGUACUUUUGUAUUUUUGGUUUAAUAGAUCUGAAAAUAAAAGCAAAGGAAAAAGAUUGCAAAGGCAAAUAUGAUGAGAAGAGACACGGGGCCCGUAGGUUUCACUAGUGGCUUCUCUCGAGAACAAUAUCAAACGGUGGGAAAACAAUUACUGUUGGGCAAUUGAUAGAACUUCAAAUAAUCAUGACGAUAUCCAGGCAAUGAUCAUCAUAUAGGCAUCACAUCCAAGAUUAGUAGACCGACUCCUGCCUGCAUCUACUACUAUUACUCCACACAUCGACCGCAACCCAGCAUGCAUCUAGUGUAUUAAGUUCAUGGAAAAACGUAGUAAUGCAAUAAGAACGAUUACAUGAUGUAGACAAGAUCUAUUUAUGUAGAAAUAGACCCCAUCUUGUUAUCCUUAAUAGCAAAAAUACAUACGUGUCGUUUCCCCUUCUGUCACUGGGAUCAAGCACCGUAAGAUCGAAACCAUCACAAAUCACCUUUUCCCAUUGCAAGAUAAAUAGAUCAAGUUGGCCAAACAAAACCCAAAUAUCGGAGAAGAAAUAUGAGGCUAUAAGCAAUCAUGCAUAUAAGAGAUCAAAGAAUACUCAAAUAAACUCAAAUAACUUUCAUGGAUAAAAACAUAGAUCUGAUCAUAAAAUCAAAGUUCAUCGGAUCCCAACAAACACACCGCAAAAAGACUUACAUCAUAUGGAUCUCCAAGAGACCAUUGUAUUGAGAAUCAAGAGAGAGAGAGAGAGGAAGCCAUCUAGCUACUAACUACAGACCCAUAGGUCUAUAAAGAACUACUCACGCAUCAUCGGAGAGGCACCAAUGGACAUGAUGAACCCCUCUGAGAUGGUGUCUAGAUUGGAUAUGGUGUUUCUGGAACUUGUGGCAGCUGGAAUUGAUUUUCGUCGACUCCCCUAGGGUUUCUGGAAUAUUGGGGUAUUUAUAGAGCAAAGAGGCGGUGCAGGAGGCCAUUGAGGUGGGCACAACCUACCUAGGCACGCCUAGGCAGGCGCGCCCAGGUGGGUUGUGCUCCCUCAGAGCUCCCCUCAGGUACUUUCUUGGCCCACUGGAUUUCUUCUGGUCCAAAAAAGUCCACAAAAAAUAUCGUUGCGUUUGGACUCCGUUUGAUAUUGAUUUCAUGCAAUGUAAAAAACAAGCAGAAAACAGCAACAAGCACUGGGCACUAUGUCAAUAGGUUAGUACCAAAAAAUGAUAUAAAAUGACUAUAAAAUGAUUGUAAAACAUCCAAGAAUGAUAAUAUAACAACAUGGAACAAUAAAAAAUUAUAGAUACGUUGGAGACGUAUUAACAUCCCCAAACUUAAUUCCUGCUCGUCCUCGAGUAGGUAAAUGAUAAAAGCAGAUUUUUUGAUGUGGAAUGCUGCCUAACAUGUUCAUCACAUAAUCUUUCCUUUGUAGCAUGGACAUUUGUACAUUUAUAUGGUUCAAAGCAAUAGUCUAGUUUCAACAUGAAGACUUUAAUACUCAAGCACACCAACAAGCAACCAUGUCUUUCAAGAUAUCAACACUAAAACAAGUUAUCCCUAGCCCAUUAUGCUCAACCAUUGAUCCAUUCAUGAAACACACUCGAAUAUUAGCUACACCCAAUGCUCAAAUAUGAUCAUAGUGCCCCUUAGUUGGUGCUUUAUAAGAGAAGAUGAAGACUCAAAUUCAAAAUAAAAAUUGCAUAAAGUAAAAGAAAGGCCCUUCGCAGAGGGAAGUAGGGAUUUGUAGAGGUGCCAGAGCUCAAUGCGAAAAUUGAGAGAUAAAAACAUUUUGGGAGGCAUACUUUUCCCACCUACGAAAACGGCUUAGAGCUCCCAACACUUUCCAUGCUAGAUACAUCAUAGGCGGUUCCCAAACAAAAAAUAAAGUUUAUUCCUUUUUCCAUCAUACUUUCACUUUCCAUGGCUAACCGUAUCUAUGGGUGCCCUCCAUACCAACACUUCCCAAGGAAUUUAUUAUUUGACAACAUAAAGUAAAUUCAUUUUUCAUUUCGGGACUGGGCAUCCCUAAUACCUUUGCCGUACUCUUGUGCAAUGACAAGUGAAUAAACACUCAUCAUGAGAAUAACACAUCUAGCAUGGAAAAUAUUGGCCACCCCUCACCGCCUCGUGAGCGGUACGAGCACACAAAAGAGAAAUUUAUUUUGAAAAUUAGAGAUGGCACAUGCAAUUUUUCUUAAAACGGCACGAAAAUACCACAUAUAGGUAGGUAUAGUGGACUCAUAUGGCAAAACUAGUUUAAAAGGUUUUGGAUGCACAAGUAGUGAUCAUAUUUAGUGCAAAACGAAGGCUAGCAAAAAGAUUGAGAAGCGACCAACCAAGAAACGAAAAAUCUCGUACCCAAGCAUUAAGCAUAACUAACACCGAAUAAUGCACCACAAGUAGGAUAUAAAUUUCAUUGCAUAACUAUUGACUUUCGUGCUUGCAUAAGGAAAUCACAAACCUUAACACCAAUAUUCUAACUAAAGCACAAUUACUCAUCAACAUGACUCACAUAUCAUAUCGUCAUAUCUCAAAACCAUUACUAAGCAUCAAGUUUAUUUUGUCCAAUGAUCAUCAUGAAAGUUUUUAUUAUAUCCUCCUUGGAUAUCUAUCACUUCGGGACUAGUUUCAUAUGUUGCCUUUGAUAAGCUCAAACAAAUAUAAGUGAAGAACAUGAGCAUAAUAUUUCUUUCUCUCAAGAUAAUCUAAGUGAAGCAAGAGAGUAUUUCUUAAAAAAAUUACUAACUCCCAAAUAAAUCUAAGUGAAGCAUAAGAGCAUUUCUUCAAAAAUAACAAAGCACAUCGUGCUCAAAAAUAGGAAGCCAUCUAGCUACUAACUACGAACCCGUAGGUCUACAAAGAACUACUCACUGGAGAGGCACCAAUGGACAUGAUGAACCCCUCUGAGAUGGUGUCUAGAUUGGAUCUGGUGUUUCUGGAACUUGCGGCGGCUGGAUUUUCGUCGACUCUCCUAGGGUUUCUGGUAUAUUGGGGUAUUUAUAGAGCAAAGAGGCGGUGUGGGAGGCCACCGAGGUGGGCACAACCCACCUGGGCGCGCCUGGGCCUCCGGGCAUGCCCUGGUGGGUUGUGCUCCCCUCGGAGCUCCCCUCAAGUACUUUCUUGGCCCACUGGAUGUCUUCUGGUCCAAAAAAAUCCACAAAAAGUUUCGCUGCAUGUGAACUCCGUUUGAUAUUGAUUUCCUGCGAUGUAAAAAACAAGGGUCUUUUACAUCUGUGUCCCUAACUUGAACCCACUACUCACAUUUGCCCCUAAUUCGAAAGCCUGCUCAAAAAUGCCCCUCCGCCAUUAGGUGCCCUUACAGAAAUAUCCUUCCGCUCCGUUUUCGUCUGGUCAAAGGGGUUUGACCGUUUACGGGGCGUUUACUGGACAUUUUGCCCCUCUAUUCACUUGUCACUUACACAUGGGACCUGCCCUAGGAAAAAAACUCUAGCUUAUCCCCUCUCUCUCACUUACUAAAAAAACUCUCUCACUCCUUGACAUGUGGGCCAGGGACCCACUUGCAUGGUCAACAUGCUCCGAAGCGAGGCUAGGCUCGGCUCGCGUGGAUCAGCCGGUGGCCGUCGCCGGCGAGAGGCGGCGCGCCUGCAAGUGAAGACCAAGGGGACGGGCUCCGGGUGGUCUGUCGAAGGAUUUGCAGGUGGUGGUCAAGAUGGAUGUCGGCGGGCAGCGAAGGCAUGCACGGGAGUGCCUGAGACAUUCUGCGGAGGACGCCGUCGCCGCCGUCGCGGUCAGAGGCUAGAUCGAGACCAAAGAGCAUGCCCUUGAACCCUGCUGGACGCCUCGCCUCUGCCCAGCACGGUGAAUCGGGCCUAUGGUCGCGUGUAGAUGAUGGCAGAGACUCCGAUCUCCGCCACAGAUGCGCCCUUGGCCUCCUAAAUCCGACUGCCCCGAGCCACCAUUGACCUUCCCGACGUCCGUGUCAUUGUCCCUGAAAUCACGCGGCCCUACUCCUCUCUUCCCCCGCUCGAUUUUGUUCCCGGAGCGCCCUGUCCGAAGCCGGCCGCCAUGACCGACCUCGACUGGCUUGGUCGUGUGCACGCGCCCACCUACCUACCUGUGCGGCGGCUCCACCCCUCCGUCGGACGACCCCGAGCCUCCCACCAUGGCCCUCACACACCGGCGCACUAUCCUUCGCCGACGGCGACCACCGGCCGAUCCGCCAAGCCUCGCCGUGACCACGAGCAAACAAGAGUUGACCCUGACAGUGGGUCCAAUGGCCCACAUGUCAGGGAGAGAGAGGGGGGGUUAUGAGAGAGGUAGACAAUUUUUUUUAAUAUUGGUGGGCUCCACGUGUAAGUCAGAGAUGGGAUGAGGGAGAGGGAGUUUUUUUUCUUUUCUUUUCCUAGGUAGGUGCCACGUGUAACUGGGAUGUGCACAGAGGGGCAAAAAUGUCGAGAAAACGUGAGGAAAACGGUCAAAGGCCUUUGACCUGACGGAAAUGGCAUGGAGGGGCAUUUCUGUAAGGGCACAUAACGGCGGAGGGGCAUUUUUGAGCAGGCUUUGGAAUUAGGGGUAUAUCUGAUUAGGUGGUUCGAGUUAGGGACAGAAAUGCAAAUGGCCCAAAAAACAAGUAGAAAACAACAACUGGCACUGGGCACUAUGUCAAUAGCUUAGUACCAAAAAAUGAUAUAUAAUGACUAUAAAAUGAUUGUAAAACAUCCAAGAAUGAUAAUAUAAUAGCAUGGAACAAUAAAAAAUUAUAGAUACAUUGGAGACGUAUCAUGGCACCCCGGCUCAGAGAGACCGGAAAGCCCCGUAUUCCAGCCCAGCGAUCAAGGAGAAGUCUUUUGGAAUACGACACUGCUUGACAUAGAACAAAUCAGGUCUUAUACAAAGGAUAAAUACAAGGGUCUGAUGUUACAAAGGAUCACAUCAGCGCGGCGACACUACCCCCAUGAUACUACACUUGCUCUAUGCUAGAAGCAAAACAACUCGUAGCAGCGGAAAUCUUCUAGCAGCGAAACAACGACGAAGGUGGUGAACUCCACCCCGCAGGGACUCUGGCUGGGACGCGAUCUAGCUCGCACAAUCGGUAACCUUGACAAGCAAUCAAUCAAUCAUGGCAUCACCUGCAAUAUGGCAUGACAUGCCAGGUCAGUACAUUGAAUGUACUUGCAAGCUCACAACAACCAAAAGCAUCAAGGCAAAACAACAUAGCAUUUAACACGUUAAUUAAUUAACUACUACCAGAAUGUGGAAACAAUAACUAAGCAUGAUAUACAACUACUAGAAUACAGAUGAAUCACCAUAUCAGAUCUCAACACCCAUCUCACUCUUGGCUAUCCGGCCAAGCAAUAUCCCAUCUCGAUCACCUCAUGAUCCACAUGAUCACCCCGUGAUAAAAACAUCCACAUGAUCACCUCGCGAUCAAAACAUCCACAUGAUCACCUCGUGAUCAAAACAUCCACAUGAUUGAUACGACUCCAACGUAUCUACUUUUCCAAACUCUUUUGCCCUUGUUUUGGACUCUAAUUUGCAUGAUUUGAAUGGAACUAACCCGUACUGAUGCUGUUUUCAGCAGAAUUGCCAUGGUGUUAUUUCUGUACAGAAAUAAAAGUUCUCGGAAUGACCUGAAACUUCACAGAGACACUUUUUGGAAUUAAUAAAAAUACUGGUGAAAGAAUUAGCUGAAGGGAUCCCACACCCUGGCCACGAGGGUGGGGGCGCGCCCUACCCCCCUGGGCGUGCCCGCUACCUCGUGCCCCCCUGGACCUCUACUGACCUCCACUCCAACUCCAUAUUUUCAUGUUCAGGGAGAAAAAAAACCAGGGAGAAGGAUUCAUCGUGUUUUAUGAUACGGAGCCGCCGCCAAGCCCUGUUCUUUCUUGCGAGGGCUGAUCUGGAGUCCGUUCGGGGCUCUGGAGAGGGGAAUCCGUCGCCAUCGUCAUCGUCAACCAUCCUCCAUCACUAAUUUCAUGAUGCUCACCACCGUGCGUGUGUAAUCCCAUUGUAGGCUUGCUAGACGGUGAUGGAUUGGAUGGGAUUUACCAUGUAAUCGAGUUAGUUUUGUUAGGGUUUGGUCCCUAGUAUCCAUUAUGUUCUAAGAUUGAUGUUGCUAUGACUUUGCCAUGCUUAAUGCUUGUCACUAGGGCCUGAGUGCCAUGAUUUCAGAUCUGAACCUAUUAUGUUUUCAUGAAUAUAUGAGUGUUCUUGAUCCUAUCUUGCAAGUUGUAGUGACCUACUACAUGUUAUGAUCCGACAACCCCGGAGUGACAAUAGUCGGGACACUUCCCGGUGAUUACCGUAGUUUGAGGAGUUCAUGUAUUCACUAAGUGGUAAUGCUUUGGUCCGGUUCUCUAUUAAAAGGAGGCCUUAAUAUCCCUUAGUUUCGAAUAGGACCCCACUGCCACGGGAGGGUAGGACAAAAGAUGUCAUGCAAGUUCUUUUCCAUAAGCGCGUAUGACUAUAUUUGGAAUACAUGCCUACAUUAUAUUGAUGAAAUGGAGCUAGUUUUGUGUCACCCUAUGUUAUAACUGUUGCAUGAUGAAUACCAUCCGACAUAAUUAUCCAUCAUUGAUCCAUUGCCUACGAGCUCGUUUCAUAUUGGUCUUUGCUAAGUAAGUUCUCCGUUGCCACUGUUACGAUUGCUACAAAACUGCUGAAAGAUCGUGGAUGUCGCCUAGAGGGGGGGAGGGUGAAUAGGCGCUUUAAAAUAAUUACGGUUUAGGCUUGAACAAAUGCGGAAUAAACCUAGCGGUUAAUUUGUCAAGCACAAAACCUACAACAACUAAGCUCACCUAUGUGCACCAACAACUUAUACUAAGGAAGAUAAACAACUAAGUGAUAGCAAGGUAUAUGAUAGGAAACAAUAUGGCUAUCACAAAGUAAAGUGCAUAAGUAAAGGGCUCGGGUAAGAGAUAACCGAGGCACGCGGAGACGAUGAUGUAUCCCGAAGUUCGCACCCUUGCGGAUGCUAAUCUCUGUUUGGAGCGGUGUGGAGGCACAAUGCUCCCCAAGAAGCCACUAGGGCCACCGUAAUCUCCUCACGCCCUCGCACAAUGCAAGAUGCCGUGAUUCCACUAAGGGACCCUUGAGGGCGGUCACCGAACCCGUACAAAUGGCAACCCUUGGGGGCGGUCACCAAACCCGUACACUUUGGUAACCCUUGGGGGCGGUCACCGGUACCCGUCAAAUUGCUCGGGACGAUCUCCACAACCUAAUUGGAGACCCCGACGCUUUCCCAGAGCUUUACACCACAAUGAUUGAGCUCCAAACAACACCAACCGUCUAGGGCGCCAAGGCACCCAAGAGGAACAAGCUCUAGGGUGCCCAAACACCCAAGAGUAAUAAGCUUCUUAAACUUCACUUCCACGUAUCACUGUGGAGAACUCAAAUCGAUGCACCAAAUGCAAUGGCAAGGGCACACAGAGUGCCCAAGUCCUUCUCUCCCAAAUCCCACCAAAGCAACUAAUGCUAGGGAGAAAAAUGAGAGGAAGAACAAAAGAAGAACACGAAGAACUCCAAGAUCUAGAUCCAAGGGUUCCCCUCACUUAGAGGAGAAAGUGAUUGGUUGGAAUGUGGAUCUAGAUCUCCUCUCUCUUUUCCCCCCAAAACUAGCAAGAAUCCAUGGAGGGAUUGAGAGAUAGCAGGCUCGAAGAAGGUCAACAAUGGGGGAAGAACACAAUCUCAAAGGAUAAGGUUCAUUGGGGAAGAAGACCCCCUUUUAUAGGAGGGGGAAAAUCCAACCGUUAUGCUCACAACCCGCAUAGAGCGGUACUACUGCUCCUACGAGCGGUACUACCGCUAGGGCGGCAGACGCCCAAUGAAACAACACUGCAGAGGGACGGUACUACUGCAGGAGUGGUACUACCGCCUGCCCUUGUAGUACUACCACGCGACUACGGAAGAAAAAUAAUAACUACCGCGCCUACAACUGCUGGAGCUAGCUACAAGAAAAAGUCGGCGCAGUACUACCGCUCACAGGGAGCGGUACUACCGCGUAGGGGCGGAUGUAAAAAAUUACAUCCAUGCCUACUACUGCACGAAACAGCGCCAGGGCACGAGGCAACGGUACUACCGAUCACCAGGAGCGGUACUACCGCGUAGGGUGCGGAAGUAAAAAAUUACUUCCGCGCCUACUUCUGUGCGCGCCAGCGUUCUGGGCUAGAGGCAGCGAUACUACCACUGGCCCCUGUGGUACUACUGCUCCCUUGAGCAGUACUACCGCACGCCAUAGAGGCUUUAGCACUUGGAUACCUUCAAAAUGCAGCUAAAGACAACAGAUGGAUCCAAUAAAAACAGAACUGCCAUUACUUCUGCAAAUGAGCUCCGAAUUGAGCAUACUCAAGCUUGUUGGAUACAAGACAACGAGUAGCAUCAAAACAUCAUAGAAGAAGCAUGUGAACUCCGUUUUCGAUGAACUCGAGCUUGUCAUCAAGAUGACCAUAAGCUCCAAAUCUCACAAAGAGAACCAAACAAGAAUCAAGAAAGAUGAUGCAAGGAUGCAAUGGUUUGAGCUCUCUACGAACAAUAUGAUCAAGCUACUCAUCGAGAGCCCCCCUUGAUAGUACAACCAUCAAUCCUAUAAGCCGGUCUCCCAACUACCACCAUGAGACCGGUAAAAUAGAAAGCCUAUCAAGGGCAAACCUUUUCCUUGCACAUGGUCCACUUGAGCUAGAUGAUGAUGAUCUUGACUCCCUCAAGUUGGACCACCUUUCUUGAUUGUGUUGGGUCGAGGAAGACUAGAUGAUUGCUCCCCCAUACUCCACUAUGGGUGAGCCACUCUUUGACACAUCUUCACAAGUCCACUGACACCAAAAUGGACGGCAAACUUCAAGCAUUUGAUCUCUUCGUGAUGCUCCACUCAAACUUGCACACCGCAACCUAACCCCACAAAGAAUUCUCACAAAGACCACGGGUUAGUACACAAAGCAUAAUUGACAGUGCUUACCAUACCAUGGUAUCACUUGAUCCCUCUUGGUACAUCUUCUAUGCUUUGUGUGUUGAUCAACUUGAUUCACUCUUUGACUUAGUCUUGAUCAACCUCUCACAAGACCAAUCUUUAGGUAAUUCCUUGAAUAGCACCUUGGUCGACACAAACUCUCCUUGAAACCAACACAUGUACUCCAAGAAAAGCCUAUGGACAAAACCUUCAAAUAUAACUCAAGGCAACCAUUAGUCCAUAGAGAUUGUCAUCAAUUACCAAAACCAAACAUGGGGGCAUCGCAUGUUCUUUCAACUGCUACUGUUACUUUUACCACCGUUACCGUUACUUCCAUACUACUUUGCUACUAAAUACUUUGCUACAGAUAUUAAGUCUUUCAGGUGUGGUUGAAUUGACAAGUCAACUGCUAAAACUUGAGAAUAUUCUCUGGCUCCCCUUGUGUUGAAUCAAUAAAUUUGGGUUGAAUACUCUAACCUCGAAAUUUUUUGCGAUCCCCUAUACUUGUGGUUUAUCAAGACCUUUUUCUGGCGCCGUUGCCGGGGAGCAUAGCUCUAUUAUCCGAGUCACGUGGGAUUUAUACCUGUUGAUCACUAUGAGGAAUCUAAAAUACAACAAAACCAAGAUAUAUCCUUCAACUACGAGGGGAGGUAAGGAACUGCCAUCUAGCUCUGCACUUGAUUCACCGUCUGCUUUGAGUAAACUUGCGACACCUACACAUACUAUUGAUUCUGAUAUGUCGCAUGUUAUUGAUGAUGCCACUUCUGCUAUGCAUGAUGCUUAUGAUGAUACUACUUCUAUGCUUGAUAAUAAUGUGCCACUAGGUGAAUUUCUCUAUGAACAACUUGCUAGGGUUAGAGAGAAUGAAAUUACUGAAAUUGAUGAUAUUAGUGAAAGUGAUGAUGAAGAUUAUCCCUCUAGAUAUGAAUUGCCUAUUAUACCUGAGGGUUAUGUUGUGGAUGAGGAAACUGCUAGAGACUUUUUUGCUUGCAAUGAUAGAUAUGAUCUUAAAAAACUGUUAGCUAAGCUGAAAGAAAAGUUUUUGAAUGCUAGAAUGAAAUAUGAUCCUGCGUUUGCUACUUCACCUAUCUGUGUUACUGAUAAGGAUUAUGAAUUCUCUGUUGAUCAUGAGUUAAUCACUUUGGUUCAAAUCUGAUCCUUUCUAUGGCUAUGAAUCUGAAACUGUUGUGGCGCAUCUUACUAAAUUGAAUGAUAUAACUACCCUAUUUACUCAUGAGGAAAAAAUUCGCUAUUACUAUAUUCUUAAAUUGUUUCCUUUCUCGUUAAAGGAUGAUGCUAAGAUAUGGUUUAAUUCUAUUGCUCCUGGUUGUGUUCGUAGUCCCCAGGAUAUGAUUUAUUACUUCUCUGCAAAAUAUUUUCCCUCUCAUAAGAAACAAGCUGCCUUAAGGGAAAUAUUUAAUUUUGUGCAAAUUAAAGAAGAGAGUCUCCCACAAACUUGGGGGAUGCUUCUCCGAUUACUUAAUGCUUUGCCUGAUCAUCCUCUCAAGAAAAAUGAAAUACUUGAUAUCUUUUAUAAUGGAAUAACUGAUGCUUCUAGAGACCACCUAGAUAGUUGUGCUGGUUGUGUUUUCAGGGAAAGAACUGUUGAGCAAGCUGAAUUGCCAUUGAAUAAUAUAUCGAGUAAUGAUAAUGAUUGGGCACUUCCUGAACCAACUCCUAAGCCAACUCCGAAGAAAAGGGGUAUUCUAUUUCUCGGUCCUGAAGAUAUGCAAGAGGCAAAGAAAUCUAUGAAAUAAAAAGGUAUUAAAGCUGAAGAUAUUAAUAAUUUACCGCCUAUCGAAGAAAUACAUGGUCUUGAUAACCCGACACAGAUAGUAAAGGUAAAUUUUCUCUAUAGAUUUGAUGGAGGCAAUAUUCCUCAUAAUAAGUCUGCUAGUCAAUGCUUGGAUGAGUUUGAUAUUUUUAUUGUUAAACAAGAAAACUUCAAUGCUUAUGUUGGUAGACAAUUGAAACGUAAUGCUUAUAUGGUUGAACACUUGAGUGAUUAUAUGUCUAGAGUUAAAAGUGAUCUUAAGCUUAUUAGUAAACAUGCUUCCAUGGUUACGUUUCAAGUAGAACAAGUACUUAAGGCCCAAGAUGAUUUGCUCAAUGAGUUGAAUAAUAAGAAAAAUGAUAAUGCUGUUAGAGUUAUGACUAGAGGUGGUAAAAUGACCCAAGAACCUUUGUAUCCUGAGGGCCAUCCUAAGAGAGCUGAGCAAGACUCUCAGAGAAUUAAUACUGAUACACCUGGUCCUUCUAAUAAAAGAAAAAGAAUAAUGAUAGGACAUUGCAUGCUUCUAGUGAACCUGUUAUUGACGCACCUGAGAAUACGAAUGAUAUUUCUAUUUCUGAUGCUAAAACACAAUCUGGUGAUGAACAUAAACCUAGUGAUAAUGUUAAUGAUAAUGUUCAUGUUGAUGCUCAACCUAGUAAUAAUAAUGAUGUAGAGAUUGAACUUGCUGUUGAUCUUGAUAACCCAUAAUCAAAGAAUCAACGUUAUGAUAAGAGAGACUUUGUUGCUAGGAAGCACGCUAAAGAAAGAGAACCAUGAGUUCAGAAACCCAUGCCUUUUCCUCCUAAGCCAUCCAAGAAAAAGGAUGAUGAGGAUUUUGAGCGCUUUGCCGAAAUGAUUAGACCUAUGUUUUUGCGUAUGCGUUUGACUGAUAUGCUUAAAAUGCCUCCUUAUGCUAAGUAUAUGAAAGAUAUUGUUACAAAUAAAAUAAAGAUACCGGAAGCUGAAAUUUCCACCAUGCUUUCUAAUUGUACUUUUAAGGGUGGAAUACCAAAGAAACUAGGAGAUCCAGGAAUACCAACUAUACCAUGCUCCGUUAAAAGAAAUUAUGUUAGAACUGCUUUAUGUGAUCUUGGAGCUGGUGCUAGUGUUAUGCCUUUCUCUUUAUAUCGUAGACUUGAUUUGAAUAAGUUGACAACUACUGAAAUCUCUUUGCAAAUGGUUGAUAAAUCAACUGCUAUACCCAUUGGUAUUUGUGAGGAUGUGCCUGUUGUGGUUGCAAACGUUACUAUGUUAACGGACUUUGUUAUUCUUGAUAUUCCCGAGGACGACAGCAUGUCGAUCAUCCUUGGUAGACCCUUUUUGAAUACUGUAGGGGUUGUUAUUGAUUGCAACAAAAGCAAUGUCACUUUUCAUGUUAAUGGUAAUCAGUAUACGGUACACUUUCUGAAGAAACAACCUCAAGUUCAUAGUAUCAAUUCUAUUGGAAAAAUUACAACUAUUACUAUUGGAGGUUUUGAAUUCCCUCUUCCUACUGUCAAAAAGAAAUAUGAUAUUCUUAUUUUUGGGGACAUGCAUAUCCCCGUUGAGGUAACCUAGUGUUAUUCGAAAAUUCUCUAGUUUCAUGUCAUUCGGAAGAAAUUAGUUAACAAAACUUGAUCAACCUUGUUAGUGGAUUCCUUUUGAUGAGCAUGAGAUGGAUGAAUUUAGAAGGCACAACUUUCUAUACCCUCCUUUUACUUUCUGUUAUUUAGAUUAAAUGAAGCAAAAACAAUAUUUUCUAUCUGUUUUCUGAAUUAUCCAUGCAAUAAAAAAUACCCAAAAAUAAAAGUUCUCCAAUUGCCCUGAAAAUUUUGUAUGAUUUUUUAUAGAAUAUUUGAGAAUUUCUGGCAUUGAGAACACACGAGGGGGAUGCAACAGUGAGCCACGAGGGUGGAGGGAGCGCCCUACCCCUUGGGCAUGCCCCCUGCCUCAUGGGCCCCACGUGCCCCCUCCACUUAUUCCAGCACCCAUUUACUUCGUCUUCCUCCAGAAAAAAUCAUCCUGUAGCUCAAACUCGUGUUCUUGCUCAUUUUGCUGCCAUUUUUGAUCUCCUUGCUCAAAGCUCCAUUCACAAAACUACUUUGGGGGAUUGUUUGGUAUGUGACUCCUCCAAUGGUCCAAUUAGUUUUUGUUCUAGUGCUUUAUUUAUUUCAAAUUUUUGCUCCUGAGGUGACCCUGUUCUUGAGCUUGCAUGUCAAAUUUAUAUGGUGAAAGUAGUUUUGUUGCAUGAUUUAGCUUCUAGACACUUGUGGGAGUAGUUGCUAUCAAUCUUGUUGAGUUUGGAUCACCUUUAUUUUGAGUCACUAUUUCAGAAUUUUUCAGAGGAAGAAAAUGUUGAGGAGAUUGUUGAGAGGCUCCUUGAGCUGGGGUUCGAAGGAAAAGGAGAAUGAAGAGAAUGAAAAGUGCAAGUACAACCUUCCUCGCACCAUGGAGGUCUGCUCGUGUGAAUGGCCUUGUGAUGCAUUCUUAAAGGCCGCUGGAAUUUAUGAAGACUUCUAUUACUUGGCUGAGAAUGCAGGCAUCACCGACUUCAUCCAUGAUAAGUGUCAUCAGUAUCUCCUACUCACUAAUAUUUUCAUGCAAAAUUUUCAUUUUCAUGCUAGGAGAUCACUGAUGUCUACUACGCAACCUUCUUCUUAUAGACGUUGUUGGGCCUCCAAGUGCAGAGGUUUGUAGGACAGUAACAAAUUUCCAUCAAGUGGAUGACCUAAGGUUUAUCAAUCCGUGGGAGGCGUAGGAUGAAGAUGGUCUCUCUCAAACAACCCCGCAACCAAAUAACAAAGAGUCUCUUGUGUCCCCAACACACCCAAUACAAUGGUAAAUUGUAUAGGUGCACUAGUUCAGUGAAGAGAUGGUGAUACAAGUGCAAUAUGGAUGGUAGAUAUAGGUUUUUGUAAUCAGACAGCAAGGUAACUAAUGAUAAAUGUGAGCAAAAACAGUAUUGCAAUGCUUCGAAACAAGGCCUAGGGUUCAUACUUUCACUCGUUCAAGUUCUCUCAACAAUAAUAACAUAAUUGGAUCAUAUAACUAUCCCUCAACAUGCAACAAAGAGUCACUCCAAAUUCACUAAUAGAGGAGAAGAAACGAAGAGAUUAUUGUAGGGUACUAAACCACCUCAAAGUUAUUCUUUCCGAGCAAUCCAUUGGGCUAUUCCUAUAGGUGUCACAAACAGCCCUAGAGUUCAUAGUAAAAUAACACCUUAAGACAGAAAUCAACCAAAACCCUAAUGUCACCUAGAUACUCCAAUGUCACCUCAAGUAUCCGUUGGUAUGAUUAUACGAUAUGCAUCACACAAUCUCAGAUUCAUCUAUUCAAACCAACACAAUGAACUUGAAAGAGUGUCCCAAAGUUUCUACUCGAGAGUCAAGAUGAAAACGUGUGCCAAUCCCUAUGCAUAGACUCCCAAGGUCACGGAACCCGCAAGUUGAUCACCAAAACAUACAUCAAGUGAAUCAAUAGAAUACCCCAUUGUCACCACGGGUAUCCCACACAAGACAUACAUAAAGUGUUCUCAAAUCCUUAAAGACUCAAUCCAAUAAGAUAACUUUAUAGGGAAAACUCAAUCCAUUACAAGAGAGUAGAGGGGGAGAAACAUCAUAAGAUCGAACUAUAAUAGCAAAGCUCGCAGUACAUCAAGAUCAUGCCAAAUCAAGAACACGAGAGAGAGAGAUCAAACACAUAGCUACUGGUACAUACCCUCAGUCCUAAGGGUGAACUACUCCCUCCUCGUCAUGGAGAGCGCCGAGAUGAUGAAGAUGGCCACCGGUGAUGAUUUCCCCCUUCGGCAAGGUACCGGAACAGGCUCCUGAUUGGUUUUUGGUGGCUAUAGAGGCUUGCGACGGCGGAACUCCCGAUCUAGGUUUCUUUUCGGGAGUUUCUGUAUUUAUAGGAAUUUUUAGCGUCAGUCUCACGUCAGGGGGGGUCCCCGAGUCAUCCACAAGGCAAGGGGGCGCGCCCUCCACCCUCCUGGAUGGCUCGGGACUCUUCUGGCCCAACUCUUUACUUCAGGGGAUUCUUUUGGUCCAUAAAAAAUCAUCAAAAAUUGGCAUGUCAAUUGGACUCCAUUUGGUAUUCCUUUUCUGUAAAACUCAAAAACAAGGAAAAAAUAGAAACUGACACUGGGCUCUAGGUUAAUAGGUUAGUCCCAAAAAUCAUAUAAAUAGCAUAUAAAUCAUAUAAAACAUCCAAGAUCGAUAAUAUAAUAGCAUGGAACAAUCAAAAAUUAUAGAUACGUUGGAGACGUAUCAAGCAUCCCCAAGCUUAAUUCCAGCUCGUCCUCGAGUUGAUAAAUGAUAAAAACAGAAUUUUUGAUGUGGAAUGCUACCUAACAUAUUUAUCAAUGUAAUCUUCUUCAUUGUGGCAAGAAUAUUCAGAUCCAUAAGAUUCAAAACAAAAGUUUAAUAUUGACAUAAAAAUAAUAAUUCUUCAAGCAUACUGACAAAGCAAUCAUGUCUUCUCAAAAUAACAUGGCGAAAGAAAGUUAUCCCUACAAAAUCAUAUAGUCUGGCUUUGCUAUAUUUUCAUCACACAAAAAUUUUAAAUCAUGCACAACCCCGAUUACAAGCCAAGCAAUUGUUUUAUACUUUUGAUGUUCUCAAACUUUUUCAAUCUUCACGCAAUACGUGAGCGUGAGCCAUGGAUAUAGCACUAUAGGUGGAAUAGAAUGGUGGUUGUGGAGAAGACAAAAGGGAGAAGAUAGUCUCACAUCAACUAGGCGUACCAACGGGCUAAGGAGAUGCCCAUCAAUAGAUAUCAAUGUGAGUGAGUAGGGUUUGCCAUGCAACGAAUGCACUAGAGCUAUAAGUGUAUGAAAGCUAAAAAAGAAACUAAGUGGGUGUGCAUCCAACUCGCUUGCUCACGAAGACCUAGGGCGUUUGAGGAAGCCCAUCAUUGAAAUAUACAAGCCAAGUUUUAUAAUGAAAAAUUCCCACUAGUAUAUGAAAGUGACAACAUAGGAGACUCUCUAUCAUGAAGAUCAUGGUGCUACUUUGAAGCACAAGUGUGGUAAAAGGAUAGUAACAUUGUCCCUUCUCUCUUUUUCUCUCAUUUAUUUUGUUUUCUCCUUUUUUGUUGGGCCUUCUUUUUUUGGCCUCUUUUUUUUCGUCCGGAGUCUCAUUCCGACUUGUGGGGGAAUCAUAGUCUCCAUCAUCCUUUCCUCACUGGGACAAUGCUCUAAUAAUGAUGAUCAUCACACUUUUAUUUACUUACAACUCAAGAAUUACAACUAGAUACUUAGAACAAAAUAUGACUCUAUAUGAAUUCCUCCGGCGGUGUACCGGGAAGUGCAAUGAUUCAAGAGUGAGAGUGAGAUGUAUGAAAGAAUUAUGAAUGGUGGCUUUGCCACAAAUACAAUGUCAACUACAUGAUCAUGCAAAGCAAUAUGACAAUGAUGAAGCGUGUCAUAAUAAAUGGAAUGGUGGAAAGUUGCAUGGCAAUAUAUCUCGGAAUGGCUAUGGAAAUUCCAUAAUAGGUAGGUAUGAUGGCUGUUUUUAGGAAGGUUAUGGUGGGUGUAUGGUACUGGCAAAAGUUGCGCGGUACUAGAGAGGCUAGCAAUGGUGGAAGGGUGAGAGUGCGUAUAAUCCAUGGACUCAACUUUAGUCAUAAAGAACUCACAUACUUAUUGCAAAACUCUAUUAGUUAUCGAAACGAAGUACUACAUGCAUGCUCCUAGGGGGAUAGAUUUGUAGGAAAAUACCAUCGCUUGUCCCCGACCGCCACUCAUAAGUAAGACAAUCAAUAAAUAAAUCAUGCUCCGAUUUCAUCACAUAACAGUUCACCAUACAUGCAUGCUAAGGGAAUCACAAACUUCGACACAAGUAUUUCUACAAUCCACAAUUACUCACUAGCAUGACUCUAAUAUCACCAUCCUCAUAUCUCAAAACAAUCGUAAGGAAUCAACCUUCUCAUAGUAUUCAAUGCACUUUAUAUGAAAGUUUUUAUUAUAUCCCUCUUGGAUGCCUAUCAUAUUAGGACUAAAUUCAUAACCUAAGCAAAUUACCAUGUUGUUUAAGACUCUAAAAAGAAUAUAAGUGAAGCAUAAGAUUUCAUCAAUUUCUUCAAAAUAAAACUACUACCGUGCUCUAAAAAGAUAUAAGCGAAGCACUAGAUGAAAUGACAAACUACUCUGAAAGAUAUAAGUGAAGAUCAAUGAGUAGUCGAAUAAUUAUGUAACUAUGUGAAGACUCUCUAAGAUUUAAGAAUUUCAGAUCUUGGGAUAUUAUUCAAACAGCAAGCAAAACAAAAUAAAACAAAAUGACGCUCCAAGCAAAACACAUAUCAUGUGGUGAAUAAAAAUAUAGCUCCAAGUAAAGUUACCGAUGAACAAAGAUGAAAGAGGGGAUGCCUUCCGGGGCAUCCCCAAGCUUAGGCUCUUGGUUCUCCUUGAAUAUUAUCUUGGGGUGCCUUGGGCAUCCCCAAGCUUAGGCUUUGCCACUCCUUGUUCCAUAGUCCAUCGAAUCUUUACCCAAAACUUGAAAACUUCACAACACAAAACUCAACAGAAAACUCGUAAGCUCAGUUAGUAUAAGAAAAUAAAUCACCACUUUUGUUACUGUUGUGAACUCAUUAUAGAUUCAUAUUGGUGUUAUAUCUACUGUAUUACAACUUAUCCAUGGUUCAUACCCUCCGAUACUACUCAUAGAUUCAUCAAAAUAAGCAAACAACACAUAGAAAACAGAAUCUGUCAAAAACAGAAUAGUCUGUAGUAAUCUGUAAUUCUCGAAUACUUAUGUAACUUUUAAAAUCCUAAAAAAUUAGUAAAACCUGAUAAAUUUGUGUACCAAUCCAUAGAAAAAAUAAUCUGACCAAAAGCACGUUUCUGCGAAUUAUAAAAACUAAUUUACUGGGUGCAAAAGUUUCUGAUUUUCAGCAGGAUCAACACAACCAUCACCCAAGUCUUCCCAAAGGCUCUACUUGGCACUUUAUUGAAACAAAAGCUAUAAAACAUGAUUACUACAGUAGCUUAAUCAUGUGGACACACAAAAACAGUAGGGGUAAAUGUUGGGUUGUCUCCCAACAAGCGCUUUUCUUUAAUGCCUUUUUAGCUAGGCAUGAUGAUGACAAUGAUGCUCACAUAAAAAGAUAAGAAUUGAAACAUAAUGGGAGCAUCAUGAAGCAUAUGACUAACACAUUUAAGUCUAACCCACUUCCUAUGCAUAGGGAUUUUGUGAGCAAACAACCUAUGGGAACAAGAAUCAACUAGCAUAGGAAAGCAAAACAAGCAUAGCUUCAUGAUUUUGAGCACAACGAGAGGAAACUUAAUAUUAUUGCAAUUCCUACAAGCAUAUAUUCCUCCCUCAUAAUAAUUUUCAGUAGCAUCAUGAAUGAAUUCAACAAUAUAACCAUCACAUAAAGCAUUAUUUUCAUGAUCCCCAAGCACAUACAUUUUAUUACUCUCCACAUAAGCGAAAUUCUUCUCAUUCGGAAUAGUGGGAGAAUCAUAAGAAACUCGAAUACUAUAAAUUGUUUCCACAUUAAAAGAGUAAUGUUUAGACAAAGGGUAAUCAUAAUCAUGACAAGUUUUAUAAAUAUAAUCAUCACUACUUUUUAUAGCAUAAGUAUCAUCACGAUAAUCAUCAUAAGUAGCAACCUUGUUCUCAUCAUAAUCGAUUGAAACCUCUUCCGAAAUAGUGGAUUCAUCACUAAAUAAAGUCAUGACCUCUCCAAAUCCACUUUCAUAAUUAUCACAAUAAGAUUCAACACCCUCCAAAAUAGUGGGAUCAUUACUUCCUAAAUUUGACAUUCUUCCAAACCCACUUUCAUCAAUAUAAUCAUCAUAAAUAGGAGGCAUGCUAUCGUCAUUUUUUUUGCAUAUCAAAGCUUGGGAGACUAAAAAUAUCAUCUUCAUAGCAUACCAAAGCUUGGGACAAACAUUAAUUGCAGCAAAUAAAUUCUCAAAUAUGUCAUUCUCAUCAAACAUAGCAUCCCCAAGCUUGGGCCUUUGCACAUCAUAAGCAUGAUCACUCUCAUCAUUAAUAGUAUGGAUAGCACCAAUAGUAUAACAAUUAUCAUCAUCACAAUGAGUAAUAGGAGCAACAUCAUUUGGGAGGGAUACCUUUUUACCUUUGCUUCUCUGUCUUCUAUUUUUCUUCUUCAAAUUAUGUGUGGGUUUAAUCCUCUUUUUGGAGCUCCUUAUUAAUGAGAUUGGUUGAAUAGAAAGCUCCUCCUCGUUACCUGAUUCAUCAUAAGAAAGAAUAGGAGGAUAUUGGGAAAUCUCUUCCCUUUCAUUAGUAUUAUCUUCAUAUUAUAUUUGUUUUCUUGUCUUUAUGUAAUUGGCAAUAUAAGGAUUUUCAAUGCAAUUCACCGCACAAUACAUAUAAAUUUCCUCUAGAUCAAUAUCAAGAAAUUUCUCAAGGUUAUAUUAUGGAAUAUCCAUAGUUAUACGUUUCAUUUCUUCAUAACCCAAAAGCAAACUAAGUUCAUUAUGAUGUGCAAGGGAAAUCAAGUCAUCACAAUUUCUGGACACGAUUUGUUCAUGAAACAAUUCGCAUUGGAGAUUUAAAUGAUCACGUUCAUUGCAAAGUUCACAAGAGUGGAAAAGAAAUUUUAAAUUUUCAACACAAACAUCUAGCCUCUCUUGCAACCACUUAGUUUCUAAAUACUUAUGCCUCUUGCAAAAUCUAUCUUCCGUAUUUGGUGUGUACUUGCAAACUCUAUGCACUCCACAAAAGUUGACAUGCUUAUAAGAUACAUUUCUAUCAUGACUAGUGAAAUCAUCAUUAGUACUAUGUAUAUUCAAUGAGUUCAUACUAACAACAUUACAAUCAUGCUCAACAUUCAAAGAUCUAGUGCCAAACAUUUUAUUGCAUUCUUCUUCUAACACUUUGGCACAAUUAUCAGAAUCCUUAUUUUCACGGAAGACAUUCAAAAGAUGAAGCAUAUGAGGCACCCUCAAUUCCAUUUUUUUGUAGUUUUCUUUUAUAUAAUAAACUAGUGAUAAAAUAAGAAACUAAAAGAUUCGAUUACAAGAUCUAAAGAUAUACCUUAAAGCACUAACCUCCCCGGCAACGGUGCCAGAAAAGAGCUUAGUUGACGGGGUGUUAGUGUCGCUUACCUAGCCUCCCCUGCAACGGCGCCAGAAAAGAGCUUAAUGUCUACUACACAACCUUCAUCUUGUAGACGUUGUUGGGCCUCCAAGUGCAGAGGUUUGUAGGACAGUAGCAAAUUUCCCUCAAGUGGAUGACCUAAGGUUUAUCAAUCCGUGGGAGGCGUAGGAUGAAGAUGGUCUCUCUCAAACAACCCUGCAACCAAAUAACAAAGAGUCUCUUGUGUCCUCAACACACCCAAUACAAUGGUAAGUUGUAUAUGUGCACUAGUUCGGCGAAGAGAUGGUGAUACAAGUGCAAUAUGGGUGGUAGAUAUAGGUUUUUUGUAAUCUGAAAUUAUAAAACAGCAAGGUAAUUAAUGAUAAAAGUGAACGAAAACGGUAUUGCAAUGCUUCAAAACAAGGCCUAGGGUUCAUACUUUCACUAGUGCAAGUUCUUUCAACAAUAAAAACAUAAUUGGAUCAUAUAACUAUACCUCAACAUGCAACAAAGAGUCACUCCAAAGUCACUAAUAGCGGAGAACAAAGGAAGAGAUUAUUGUAGGGUACGAAACCACCUCAAAGUUAUUCUUUCCGAUCAAUCCAUUAGCCUAUUCCUAUAGGUGUCAGAAACAGCCCUAGAGUUCGUAGUAAAAUAAGACCUUAAGACACAAAUCAACCAAAACCCUAAUGUCACCUAGAUACUCCAAUGUCACCUCAAGUAUCCGCGGGUAUGAUUAUACGAUAUGCAUCACACAAUCUCAGAUUCAUCUAUUCAAACCAACACAAAGAACUUCAAAGAGUGCCCCAAAGUUUCUACCGGAGAGUCAAGACGAAAACAUGUGCCAACCCCUAUGCAUAGAUUACCAAGGUUACGGAACCUGCAAGUUGAUCACCAAAACAUACAUCAAGUGAAUCAAUAGAAUACCUCAUUUUCACCACACGUAUCCCACGCAAGACAUACAUAAAGUAUUCUCAAAUCCUUAAAGACUCAAUCCGAUAAGAUAACUUCAAAGGGAAAACUCAAUCCAUUACAAGAGAGUAGAGGGGGAGAAACAUCAUAAGAUCCAACUAUAAUAGCAAAGAUCGCGGUACAUCAAGAUCGUGCCAAAUCAAGAACACGAGAGAUAGAGAGAGAUCAAACACGUAGCUACUGGUACAUACCCUCAGCCCCGAGGGUGAACUACUCCCUCCUCAUCAUGGAGAGCGUCGGGAUGUUGAAGAUGGCCACCGGUGAUGACUUACCCCUCCAGCAGGGUGUCUGAACAGGGUCCCAAUUGGCUUUUUGUGGCUACAGAGGCUUGCGGUGGCGGAAUUCCCGAUCUAGGCUUCUUUUCGGGGGUUUCAGUAUUUAUAGGAAUUUUUGGCAUCGAUCUGACGUCAGGGGGGGUCUCUGAGUCAUCCACGAGGCAGGGGGCGCCUCCAGGGGGGUAGGGCACACCCUCCACCCUCGUGGAUGGCUCGGGACUCUUCUAGGCCAACUCUUUUACUUCAGGGGCUUCUUUUGGUCCAUAAAAAAUCAUCAAAAAUUGGCACGUCAAUUGGACUCCGUUUGGUAUUCCUUUUCUGUAGUACUCAAAAACAAGGAAAAACACAAACUGGCGGGCUCUAGGUUAAUAGGUUAGUCCCAAAAAUCAUAUAAAAUAGCAUAUAAAUGCAUAUAAAACAUCCAAGAUUGAUAAUAUAAUAGCAUGGAACAAUAAAAAAUUAUAGAUACAUUGGAGACGUAUCAAUCACCACCUUCGGUAGAAUUUUAUUUAUAUGAUGAGUUUAAGGAGAUGUCACUCUAUGAUUUUUGUGAGGUUUGCAAAUUGCCUUUUGAGGGCAGCAUCAAGGAACCACAUCCUAGUGAUGUGGGAGAUUUUAUAGAUAAAAUUACUGUAGGGGAAAGGAGAAGAGUGUCGGAUGCAAGAACUACUAGUAUACAUUUUCCCGUUCUACUUUACUAUGCAAUAUUUGCUAGUAGAUGUUUAAUUGGUCGCGGGAACAGUUGGGGCCUCAGUGCUCCCGACCUUGCCAUUUUGCGCCAUGCUUUACUUCGUGAUAAAACUUUCAGUUUAGGCGCUAUGGUUGCUAAAUGGUUGAGUCUAAACCGUACGAAGGGCCCCAUUUUUAGAGGUAUGUAUGCUUCUCGUCUUGCUAAAUAUUUUGAGAUACCUAUUAGACACUAUGAGAAAGAAGAAAAGGUGUUGCCCACUGUUUACUUAGAUUAUAAAAGUAUGGUAGCACAUGAUUUUCUUUGUUUUGACAAGGAAAAUAGACUCAUUUAUAACCUGGUAUUUAGUGAAGAUACUUGUCAAUUAUUACCUUGCCUGCACCUUCUUUGUUUAAUAUUCAUUCAGCCACAUACCUUAUCAUGCCCGCGGACAUUCAUGCAUACUGCGAGCGGACGCGAUCCCCAGAUCCUGAGCCAAUGCCAUCACCUGAUCCAUAUCAGGAGUCUAUUUAUCAGUGGGAUCCGUAGGAGCUCGCUAACCAGUGGAAUCCCGAGGAUUCUCCUCAGUACACCGAAGAGCACUACUUUGAUCCAUGGGUGUAGACCAACUUAGGCCAAAAGCCUAAGCUUGGGGGAGUACGCAUUUCUCACCGACAUUACAUUCAUGUUCACACACUCAUUCUACUUCUCGGUGUUCAUACUUUUUCAUUGUAUUAUCCAUGCUAGUUUAUUUUCUUUUCCUGCUUUCUUCGUGUGUGUUUGAAAAACUUUGAGAAAAACCAAAAAAAUUAGUUGUAGCCUUUAGCUAGUUUACUUUCCAUGCUUGUAGUGGUAGUAAUUAAAUAAGAAAUCCAAAAAUAUUUCUCGUUCUUCUUUUGCUUGUUGGGAGCUUUCCCAUGUAAAUAGUUUUCCUAGUUCUUUGAAAUUCUUUUCUUUUCUUUGGGGGUCGAGAGGAGAAUACCACGAUGAAAUGAUGAGUGGCUCUCGUAUGCAUUAUUAUUGAUAAAACAAAGAGCCCAUAUUACCUUGUCUUCUCCUUUGAAUUAAAUGUUUGUAAAUUCCAGCUUAGUCCAAUGCAUGUGCACUAUCAUUAUUAUCGACACCGUUCAGUCGUGCAAGUGAAAGGCAAUAAUGAUGAUAUAUGAUGAAAUGAUUGAGAUGAGUAAAAGCUGGUAUGAACUCGACCUAUCUUGUUUUUGUAAAUAUGAUUAGUUCAUCGUUCUUGAUUCAGCCUAUUAUGAAUGAAACAUGUUUGCAAUGACAAUUAGAGAUCAUAGUUACUCAUGUGAUGCUUAAUUAGCUAAGAGUUUAUAAUGGUUUACCUUGCGUGCCAACAUGCUAUUAAAAUGGUUGUGAUGUAGUAUGAUAGGAUGGUAUCCUCCUUUGAAUGAUUCGAGUGGCUUGACUUGGCACAUGUUCAUGCAUGUAGUUGAAAAAAAUCAACAUAGCCUCCACGAUAUCUAUGUUCAUGGUGAUUUAUAUCCUACUUAUGCUUGCACUCAUUGUUGGUUAAUCUUAAUGCAUGAUUAUGACUGUGUUUCUCUCUAGUUGGUCGCUUUGCAGUCUCUUGCUAGCCUUCACUUGUACUAAGCGGGAAUACUGCUUGUACAUCCACUUCCAUAAAGCCCAAAGUUGUUCCAUAUGAGUCCACCAUACCUACCUAUAUGCGUUAUUUACCUGCCGUUCCAAGUAAAUUUGCAUGUGCCAAACUCUAAACCUUCAAAUGAAAUUCUGUUUUGUAUGCUCGAAUCGCUCAUGUAUCAACUAGGGUUGUCUAUAUCUUCCAUGCUAGGUGGGUUAUUCUCACGAUGAGUGGACUCCGCUCAUCAUUCACGAGAAAAUGGCCGGUAACCGGGAUGCCCAGUCCCAUGCUAAAAUCAAAUCAAAAUAAUUGCAAACAAAACUCCCCUGGGAUUGUUGUUAGUUGGACGGUAAUUGUUGUUUCGGACCAGCCGUGUAUGUGCUUGUUGGUGGUGGGGGAGUAUAAAGUUUACCAUUCUAUUUGAGAACCGCCUAUAAUGUAUAUAGCAUGGAAGAUAUAGAGAUCUCUUGGUUGUUAUGUUCACAAUGAAAGUAUGCCGCUUAUGUCAGGACCCCGACUCGAUGUCACAUCGAUCUAGCCGGUAACACCUCAUAUCACUUUGCGGCCUCACGCACGGUAUUCCCACGGGUGUCGCCUUACCUUUGCCCGGGACCGUUUGCGCCUUUUGGCUCACGUAUAUGAUAGUGUCGCUAGCAUCCAUAUGAUAAGGAGCCCGGGCUGACAUGACUAGUCGUAAACCCAAAGUGGCACAGACUUACAGGGACAGGCAUCCAUGACCCAGCUUCGAACGUGUCGGUCAACAGCAAGUGGGUCCGGGCUGUAGCACUGGGCUAGCAGGACUCCGGUAAACCGGGCUGUAGCGGGCUAACAGGACUCCGGUACUCAAUGCGUGACAUUUCCCCGAAGGGACAGACACAGGAACGAAGAAGGACACAUGCCGGCCAGCCUAAGUGUUCCAGAGCAGUAGCAAGCUACCAUGGCUCAGCGGUAACACUAGGAGACAUUUCCCGGUAAGAGAGGCUACUAAAGAUAAACAACUAGAUAGUCAGAUCCCACACAUACCAAGCAUUUCAAUCAUACACACACUAUGCUCGAUAUGGGCAAAUACAACGAAGCAUCACAACAUGACUCUAUGACACAAGUACUUUAUUUAAGGCUCAGGGAGCCAUACAUAACAUACACAAAGGUACGGGUCUCACGACCCAACAUACAAGUCAUACAGUCAUACAAACCAGCAGCGGAAGUAACUUGUCUGAGUACAGACAACUAGUAAAAUAAAAGAGGCUUGGAAAGCCUAGCUAUACUACGUGGUCCAUCACAAGCUCAGGGUCACCACCUGGGUCUUUAGCCUACUCGUUGAUGUCAAUGUCUACAUAGAACCCAUCAGAAGGGGUUGCAGCGUCUUCUGUAAAAAUGUAGAUUAUAGCAACAUGAGUACAAAGGUACUCAGCAAGACUUACAUCAGAUCCUACAUACAUGCAUAGUAUCAAGAAGGGUUGGUGGAGUUAUUGCAGCAAGCCAGCUUUGACUCUUGGCUAGACUAUCCUACGAUACUCCAACUUGAAAUGGUUUUGCGCACACGAGUCCACUACUCACCACUUCAAUACACUACCGAGGAUCCGCCUCCGUCUUCCUACGGAAGAGCCAUACUCAGCACUCACACUUAUCUUGAGAAUUUUAGUAGUUUCCAUUUACUUGUCUAUGAACUGUAUAGGCAACCAAGUAGUCCUUUACCGCGGACGCGGCUAUUCGAAUAGAUCAUGAUAACCCUGCAGGGGUGUACUCCUUCAUACAUGUUUCCACCACUUAGCGUCUGCACACGACAUGUGCUCGGCAGACUUCAAGCGAAAGCCGACGUGGGUGUAGACCACGACCUACCUAAACACUUAAGCCUCUAGUCCAGGUUUAUCGCCUAUUCAGGUUCCAUCCGCAGGGAGUCCGGCCGAGGUUUCCCAUACGGCCCCGAACGAUGUGAACAGGGUUCCCGAGAUACCUAACGGGUAUUCGGUACACCGUGCCACGUACCUACCGCAUCACAGCCCACCCCUAUGGUCAGCGCUGUCCACGGCCUCCAGUAGGCUACAAACACCAGAAACUACUUGCAACUCCUGGACAGAGAGCUAGGGUGAAUAAGAAGUCGAGCGGGGUCAUAUUUCAGGGCCCAAUGCAUGGUAGUAGCUGUAUCUUAAAUCACACAUACAGAUCUCAGUGCUUAAGGUCGGCUUCAAUGAAACAACCCACCAUGUACUCCUACAUGGCCCCUCAUCGAUACCUUUACCAAAUCGUGUUCACCACACCACUCUCAUUACCGACAUAAUCAUUUCACUCUAGCCAUCACCCAGAUGAACCAGACCUGACACGACUCUAAGCAUAGCAGGCAUAGCAAGGUAGGAACAACACACACAUAUGGCUCAAUCAACUCCUACACAUGCUAGUGGGUUUCAUCUAGUUACUGUGGCAAUGACAGGUCAUGCAGAGGAAAUGGGUUCAACUACCGUAGCACACAGUAGUUUGAAACGCGUUGUCUUAAUGCAGUAAAAGAGAGCAGGAGCGAGAACAUGGGAUUGUAUCGAUAUGAUCAAAUGGUUGGUUGCUUGCCUGAUGGUUCGAUGCACUGAUACGGUUCUUCGUUAGGGUAAUCACGGUACUCCUCGGAGGCAGAACCUAUCGCAAAGGACACCGAUACACAACCAUCACCAAACAAUGUGCAACAAUAUGAUGCAUGCAUGAAACGUAGCAAUAUGAGUGUGUUGGGCUAAUGCAACUAAAACCAGAAGGGUUUGAACAAAUUUGAAUCAAAGAUUCAAAUUUCAAACUCAAGCAUGGCCUUUUAAAGUGCUUUUCCUUGUUCUGCUUAAAACAUCAAUUUCACUUGUUUGAUCAUGCAUGAAAAUAGUACAGAUGGAUAGAUUGGAUUUUUCUGAUCAUUUUUCAUAUAUAAUUUGUCCAAUUUGGAGUUACAGAAUAAAAGUUAUGAAUUUUUGAAGUUUAAAUAAUAUUCUAGAAUUUCCUGAUUUAAUUUAAAUCCAGAAAUUAUAAUUAUUGCGCCAGCAUGACAUCAGCAUGACGUCAGUGGUCAACUCCGGCUGGCUGGGGUCAAACCUGACGUGUGGGGGCCACACGUCAGUGACAGGGGGGGGGGUUUAACAGGUUUAAAUUAAUCCUAAUUAGGGAUUAGUGGCGCUGGGGCCCACUGUCAGUGUCAGGGGGGGGGGUUGACUAACGGUAAUUAGCACUAACUGCCCACCUGGCCGAUGGGGCCCACGCGUCAGCGACCCUGGGGGGGUCAAACCCCAGGUCAGACAAGUCAAACCCGCCGGCGGUUAGUCGCCGGCGAGGUCCGCGGCGUACAGGGGCCUCGGGUUUCCUCUGUGGUGCUCCAAACGGCGUGCGGCUAGGUGCGUUGGAUAGCUAGCUCGACGGCGCGUCAGACGGUGGCCGUGGCUGGGCCUGGGGUGGCCGGAGUCGACGGCGGCGAGCUCGGCUGCGGCCGCCGGAGUUCGGGUGCGGUCGGAAUCGGCGUUGCAGGGUGUUUGGGGAGGCGUUGGUGCGUGCUGCGUGUUCCUAGUGAGGUGUGGAGCACGAUAGUGUGCUCGGUUGGGUGCUACGGUGACCGUGGCCACGACGGCGACUUCGCCGGCGGCGUGGAGUUCUCGGCCAAGACGGGGCUACGGCCUAGAGGUCGAAAGAGACCAGGGAAGAAGGGGGAAACGACUCGGGGGCUCACCGCGGUUGCAGUGGGCGUCAAAGCGGGCUCAGAGACGCGCUGGAGACGGCGAAUUCGACGGCGAUGAUGGUCGGAGCCCGAAGAGGGGAACGGCGACGUGGCGGCGAUGCAGGGCUUCCGGAGGCCCGUGGAGCGGUGGGGAGGAAGAGGGGGUUGUGGCGGAGCUUCNNNNNNNNNNNNNNNNNNNNNNNNNNNNNNNNNNNNNNNNNNNNNNNNNNNNNNNNNNNNNNNNNNNNNNNNNNNNNNNNNNNNNNNNNNNNNNNNNNNNNNNNNNNNNNNNNNNNNNNNNNNNNNNNNNNNNNNNNNNNNNNNNNNNNNNNNNNNNNNNNNNNNNNNNNNNNNNNNNNNNNNNNNNNNNNNNNNNNNNNNNNNNNNNNNNNNNNNNNNNNNNNNNNNNNNNNNNNNNNNNNNNNNNNNNNNNNNNNNNNNNNNNNNNNNNNNNNNNNNNNNNNNNNNNNNNNNNNNNNNNNNNNNNNNNNNNNNNNNNNNNNNNNNNNNNNNNNNNNNNNNNNNNNNNNNNNNNNNNNNNNNNNNNNNNNNNNNNNNNNNNNNNNNNNAGGGAGAGUGAGAGAGAGCAGGGGGGGAGGCGUGGCGUCGUCCGGGGCAUCGAGCGAGGAGGGGAGGGCAGGCAAGCAGGGAGAGAGGUGGCGUGGCGCGGUGGCGCGCGCGCGCGCCGGCCACACUCCCCUCCCUCUGUCGGGACGAAGACGACAGAGGAGGGAGACGGCUGGGCCGCCUGCUGGCUGGGCCGGCCAGCUGGCUGGGCUGCACAGGGAGGAGCCCAGGUAAGCUUCUCCCUUUUAUUUUUUUCUGUUUUCUAAUUUCUGACAUUUGUUUUGAUUUAAAAAAAAUAUCAAAUCAUUUAUUUAACUUAUGCCAAUUUUUGCAGGGGCUAGAUAUAUUAUUCCAGAGCUCCUUUAUAAAUGGCAUAAUAUUUGGACAUAUAUUAAUAUAUAUAAUUAAUAUAUUUCCAAAGCAAAUAUUUAUGCAUUAAUUCCAAAUGCCCAAAAUAAAUACCUAUGAGCUAUUAAAAAUAUUGGUUUGAUUUUUAUCUCUGUCCAAUAUUUUCAGAGAGCAACAUGAGCAUUUUCUUGGACCCUUUUGGAGAAAUUUUUAUUUGGUCAUUUUCAAAAAGAUUCUGAGGGUUUCACAGAUCCCCAUUUCAAGUUUCUGAUGAAAGAGUAAACAUGAUGCAACACUCUAAUGCAUGACUAGCUAGGGUGUGACAACUCACCCCCACUCAAAAGAAUCUCGUCCCGAGAUUUGGGUUCCUCCGGGAAGAAAGCGGGGUACUCGAGUCGAAGACGAUCCUCCCUUUCCCAAGUUGCUUCAUCCUCAGAAUGGUGCGACCAUUGUACUUUGAGGAACUUGAUGUUCUGACGUCGAGUGGUACGCUCGGUCUGAUCGAGGAUACGAAUGGGGUACUCUCGAUAUGUAAGAUUAUCUUGGAGAUCAAGCGUUUCGUGGUCCACUUCACGGAUAGGAUCCGAGAAGCAACGCCUGAGUUGAGAAACGUGGAAAACAUCGUGGACUCUGGAGAGGUGCGGAGGUAGUUCCAACUGGUAGGCAACUUCUCCUCGUUUGGCGAGAAUGCGAAAAGGUCCAAUGUAACGAGGAGCCAAUUUGCCUUUGAUUCCGAAACGAUGGGUUCCCUUCAGAGGGGUGACCCGAAGAUAAGCCUUCUCGUCAACCUCGAAAGUCAUAGCCUUAUGUUUUCGGUCAUAUUGACUCUUUUGACGAGAUUGGGCUGUUUUCAACUUUUCACGAACGAUACGAACUUGUUCUUCUGCUUCCGGAAUCAUAUCCGGGCCAAAGAAUUGUCUUUCCCCGGUCUCUGACCAGUUAAGGGGUGUUCGACACCGUCGUCCAUAGAGAACUUCAAAAGGGGCUUUACCCAAGCUAGAUUGAUAGCUGUUGUUGUAAGCGAAUUCAGCAAAUGGAAGGCACUUCUCCCAGUCCAUUCCGAAUGAGAUAACAGAGGCUCGAAGCAUGUCUUCUAGAAUUUGGUUGACGCGUUCCACUUGACCACUUGACUGGGGGUGGAAGGCGGUGCUAAAGGAGAGACGGGUUCCCAUAGCAUUCUGGAAACUUUCCCAAAAUCGAGAGGUGAAAAGACUUCCUCGAUCCGAGUUAAUUUCCAAAGGAACACCAUGAAGAGACACUAUACGGGAGAUGUAUAAGUCUGCCAGCUGACUAGCGGUUAUACUCUCACGAACAGGUAAGAAAUGGGCUACUUUGGAAAGACGAUCGACCAUGACGAAAAUAGCAUUAUUCCCUCUCUUGGUCCUGGGAAAACCGGUAAUGAAAUCCAUACCAAUUUUAUCCCAUUUCCAUUCAGGAAUAGCUAAGGGUUGAAGGGUGCCAGCAGGCCGUUGAUGCUCUGCUUUUACACGACGACAGACGUCGCAAUUAGCAAUAAACUGAGCAAUUUCUCUCUUCAUCCUAGUCCACCAGAACCUCUGGCGUAGGUCCUGAUACAUCUUAGUACUACCGGGAUGAAUGGUGAGAGGAGAUUCAUGAGCCUCCUUAAGGAUCAACUGCCGUAGAUGCUGGUUCUUGGGAACCACUAGACGGUUCUCAAAGUACACCACACCAUGAUCAUUUGUGGAGAAACAACUAGCACCUCCGCUAGCAAUGUUCUCUUUGAUUUUAGAUAUUCCCUUAUCUCGCUUUUGGGCAGCAAUGAUUUGAUCCGAAAGAGUAGGUUUUGCUACCAAGGUGGAAAGAAAACCUUGAGGUACAAUGUGAAGGUUUAGCUUCCGAAAUUCCUCAUGGAGAAGCGGUUGACUUUGUUGUAACAUCAGGUUGUUACAAUAAGAUUUACGGCUUAGUGCAUCAGCCAUGACGUUGGCUUUCCCUGGGGUGUAGGUUAUUCCUAAGUCGAAGUCUGUGAUCAACUCCACCCAACGUCUUUGCCUGAGAUUCAGAUCCGGUUGGGUGAAGAUGUACUUCAGACUUUGGUGAUCAGUGAAUAUUUCGCAACGAUUACCGAGGAGGUAAUGUCGCCAGGUCUUAAGUGCAUAGACUGCGGCUGCAAGCUCUAGAUCAUGAGUAGGAUAAUUCUCCUCAUGUGGGUGCAAUUGCCGUGAAGCGUAGGCAAUUACGUGUCGAUCUUGCAUGAGAAUGCAACCUAGUCCUUGUCGCGAGGCGUCGCAGUAGAUAACAAAGUCCUUGGAGAAGUCUGGCGGUACCAGUACGGGAGCAGAAGUCAGGUGUCUUUUCAGUUCCUGAAAGCUGUGCUCACAUUGUGGAGUCCAUUCGAACUUCUUAUCUUUCUUGAGGAGUUCGGUUAGAGGUUUGGCAACUUUGGAGAAGUUCUCGACAAAGCGACGACAAUAGCUCGCUAAGCCUAGAAAACUCCGAACUUGCUUGACCGAUUCAGGUGGAGUCCAAUUAAGGAUGGCUUGAACUCGCUCAGGGUUAACAGCUAUACCUUUACCAGAUAUUACAUGACCCAGAUAGGUCACUUCUGACAACCAGAAUUCACAUUUAGAAAAUUUGGCAUAAAGGCGAUGCUCUCGAAGUUUCUUCAACACUAGCCUUAAAUGUUCGGCAUGUUCUUCCUCGUUCUUGGAGUAGAUGAGUAUAUCAUCGAGAUAAACUACGACGAAUUUAUCCAAAUACUCCAUGAAGAUUGAGUUCAUUAACCGAGAAAAGGUGGCUGGAGCGUUGGUUAAACCGAAGGACAUGACGGUGUACUCGUAUUGGCCAUAACGGGUAACAAAGGCCGUUUUAGGGAUGUCCCCAUUUCUGAUUUUGAUUUGAUGGUAGCCCAACCUCAAAUCCAUCUUGGAGAAGACUGAGGAUCCAGCGAGCUGAUCGUACAGGUCGUUGAUCCUGGGAAGUGGAUAUUUGUUCUUGAUUGUGACCAAAUUGACAGGUCGAUAAUCUACAACCAUCCGCUCCGUACCAUCCUUCUUCUUGACGAAGAGGACGGGGCAAGCCCACGGAGAUGAGCUAGGUCGGAUGAAACCCUUUUUCAAGGACUCAUCGAGUUGUUUCUUAAGCUCGGCUAGUUCUAGGGGUGCCAUCUUAUAGGGUCUUCUAGCAAUCGGAACGGUUCCUGGAAUGAGGUCUAUUACGAACUCAACAUCCCUGUCAGGUGGAACACCUGGCAAUUCUUCUGGGAAGACAUCCGGGAAGUCACGGACUACCGGAAUGUCCUCAAGGUCUGGCAAAGCAGAUCUCACAGGAUAGAGAUCGCGCAUAUCCGAAUAUCCAGCUUGCACCGCCGGUGCGAACCGAGUCAAAGUGGCCCAGUGGUCAGCACGGGUAUUGAAGAGCUCUAACCUCAAGGCCCGAUUUUCACGGUCCUUAUCCUCGAGCAUCUCAGCAGUGGUGCGAGUCCGUGAAUCCUCCUGGGUGGGGUCAGCAUAGAUAGCCUAGAGAUACCCUUGUGCUCCCGGAAGUGAUCCUGGCAUAUACCGGAAAUCAGAGCCCGAAAUAGACCAGAUCUGACUCGCAUAAUGGUCAUCAUAGAGUAGGCGGCGUCCUGCACAGCCAUCUCGAUAGUAACCCCGAGUCCAUAGGAGCAGUGAAGAGGCUCGGUGGAUCCAGGAUAAGAUGGAAAUAUCCUGACAGUGCAGAGAUACUGGCUUUGAUUAAAGUCUCGGAAUUGCUCUUCGACCGUGUACUCAGGAUACCAACGGUAUCCAGCCUCAGUCAUUACCCUGACCAACUUGGCAGCAUGGCCGGGUACAUCUAGGCAUCGAGUCAGGCGAACCACUUGAUUGAGGUCGCGAGUGGCCAUCUGAAAGCACAAUCAUAAUGCAAGGGCAUUAGAAUUUCUAGCAAAAUUUCGGCAGCAUAACAGCUGUAAAUGCUCAAGAAGGAUUUUGAGACAUUUGACAAAGGAUUACAUACACACUCAACAUCAUCAUAUCAAGUUUUGAAUCCAUUCUAACAACAUAAUGUGGUAGUAGAACUGAACUAGGCUUGUAUCCAUCAAACUUAUAAGGUACUACUGAUUAGUAACACGUGAUCCUGAUAGAGAGUAUAGAUCCUAAUUCCUUAACCCCCGGUGGAAGAAUGGACUGACUCAGAUCAGAAUGUCAUAAGAUAAAGGAGUAAAAAGAGCCUUACGUUCCAACCCACAAACAAUUCCCCUACAUAUAACUAAAGAAUUUCUAGACUCAACAUCGACCAGUUUGGCUUGGAGAACCUACAGGCAGUCCGGCUCUGAUGCCAACGCUGUCAGGACCCCGACUCGAUGUCACAUCGAUCUAGCCGGUAACACCUCAUAUCACUUUGCGGCCUCACGCACGGUAUUCCCACGGGUGUCGCCUUACCUUUGCCCGAGACUGUUUGCGCCUUUUGGCUCACGUAUAUGAUAGUGUCGCUAGCAUCCAUAUGAUAAGGAGCCCGGGCUGACAUGACUAGUCGUAAACCCAAAGUGGCACAGACUUACAGGGACAGGCAUCCAUGACCCAGCUUCGAACGUGUCGGUCAACAGCAAGUGGGUCCGGGCUGUAGCACUGGGCUAGCAGGACUCCGGUAAACCGGGCUGUAGCGGGCUAACAGGACUCCGGUACUCAAUGCGUGACAUUUCCCCGAAGGGACAGACACAGGAACGAAGAAGGACACAUGCCGGCCAGCCUAAGUGUUCCAGAGCAGUAGCAAGCUACCAUGUCUCAGCGGUAACACUAGGAGACAUUUCCCGGUAAGAGAGGCUACUAAAGAUAAACAACUAGAUAGUCAGAUCCCACACAUACCAAGCAUUUCAAUCAUACACACACUAUGCUCGAUAUGGGCAAAUACAACGAAGCAUCACAACAUGACUCUACGACACAAGUACUUUAUUUA
rnacentral:lncRNA from 1 species